GGUGCCCCCCUCCCCCGUAUAUAAAGGAGUGGAGGAGGGGGGAGCGCCGGCCCUCUAUGGCGCGCCCUGGAGGAGUCCUACUCCCACUAGGAGUAGGAUCCCCCCCCCCUUUCCCUAGUUGGACUAGGAGAGGAAGGAAGGGGAAGGAAGGAGGAAGGAAAGGGGGUCGUCCCCCCACCCAAUUCGGAUUGGGCUGGGAGGGGCGCCCCAUCCUAGGCUCCCUUCUCCUCUCUCCCACUAUGGCCCAAUAAGGCCCAUAUACUUCCCGGGGGGUUCCGUUAACCUCCCGGUACUCCGAUAUAUGCCCGAACUCACCCGGAACCGUUCCGAUGUCCAAACAUAGGCUUCCAAUAUAUCGAUCUUUAUGUCUCGACCAUUUCCAGACUCCUCGUCAUGUCCGUGAUCACAUCCGGGACUCCGAACUACCUUCGGUACAUCAAAACACAUAAACUCAUAAUACCAAUCAUCAUCGAACGUUAAGCGUGCAGACCCUACGGGUUCGAGAACUAUGUAGACAUGACCGAGACACAUCUCCGGUCAAUAACCAAUAGCGGAACCUGGAUGCUCAUAUUGGUUCCUACAUAUUCUACGGAUAUCUUUAUCGGUCAAACCGCAUAACAACAUACGUUGUUCCCUUUGUCAUCGGUAUGUUACUUGCCCGAGAUUCAGUCGUCCGUAUCUCAAUACCUAGUUCAAUCUCGUUACUAGCAAGUCUCUUUACUCAUUCCAUAAUAAUUCAUCAUGCAACUAACUCAUUAGUUACAAUGCUUGCAAGGCUUAUGAUGAGUAUUACCGAGAGGGCCCAGAGAUACCUCUCCGAAACACGGAGUGACAAAUCCUAAUCUCGAUCUAUGCCAACCCAACAAACACCUUCGGAGACACCUGUAGAGCACCUUUAUAAUCACCCUUUCAUGUUGUGACGUUUAGUAGCACACAAAGUGUUCCUCCGGCAUUCGGGAGUUGCAUAAUCUCAUAGUCCGAGGAACUUGUAUAAGUCAUGAAGAAAGCAGUAGCAAUAAAACUAACACUAUCAUAAUGCUAAGCUAACGGAUGGGUCAUGUCCAUCACAUCAUUCUCCUAAUGAUGUGAUCCCGUUGAUCAAAUGACAACACAUGUCUAUGGUUAGGAAACAUAACCAUCUUUGAUUAACGAGCUAGUCUAGUAGAGGCAUACUAGGGACUAUAUGUUUUGUGUAUGUAUUCACACAUGUAUUAAGUUUCCGGCUAAUACAAUUCUAGCAUGAAUAAUAAAAAUUUAUCAUGAAUUAAGGAAAUAAAUAAUAACUUUAUUAUUGCCUCUAUUGCAUAUUUCCUUCAGAUCAAGGCAAUUUGUGAAGGCUUGCCAGACAUGUGGCACUGCAUAUGUACGUGGCAUAUAGAAAAAAUAUGAAGAUUCAAGUCAUAAGUCCUUGAAGGAGUUACGAACUCUUUUGUACUACAGCACGUCCACAACCAUGUUUGAGAAGAUAUGGCACGCGUUUUCCAAAAGAUGGCAGUCGGAAAAAAUGGUAACAUGGUUGAGAUGGAUGUAUAAGAAGAGGAGACUGUGGGUCGCAACUUAUCUGACAGAGGGGUCUUGUCUUGGCAUGAAAAGCAACCAGAGGAGUGAAAGUCUAAACUCAUGCCUUUACCUCCACCUACACGGUGAAAUGACCCUGAUGGAUAUGAUUUUGCACUAUGAGAACGCCGUUGUACGUAUUCGUGAGAACGAGGCGCGAGAUGACUGCACGGCCUCACAGAGUUUACCGGUGCCAGUUACUAGCUCGAGGGAACUUGAGAUAGCUACUUCUCAUGUCUUCACUCCAGCAAACUUCUAUAUGUUGCAAGAUGAUCUUAGAAAAAUUGGCGGCAUGGAGUUUGUAGAAAUAAAGCUCGGAGACGGAUCACAGCAGUACAUCGUGGCCUGGAAGAAUAACCGAAAGAGCCGUUUUUGGGUGGAGUAUACACCAGUAAAUUCCGCAAAAACUAUAAGGUGCAACUGCAGAAGAAUGAUUUGAAAGGGUCUACCUUGCAAGCACAUAUUCCAUGUACUGAAGUACUUGAAUAUAUCUGAAAUACCAAAGAGUUUAGUUCUUGUUCGAUUCACGAAAGAAGCAAGGUUGGGACUGCCCGCGAGGCGCACAAGCGAUCUGUUGGGAUUUGGUUAGACUGGGGCAGGUGAAAGAAUGAAAUAUAUCCAGGUCAGUGUGUUGGCUUCAAAAGCUAUGCAUGCGGCAUGCAAACACCCAGCUUUAUGGGAUCAGUUACAGGAGAGUUUGAAGGUCGUGAUAGCUAAGAUCCAUGCGUAUGAUCAGCUAAAGGAAAAUUUGAGAAGGAAAACGGCUGAUCUCAGUAGAUGUGCAAUUGAAUAUGUAGACAAUGGUGAAGGCAACAUAGUUGAAGUUCAAGAUCCUAUUAAAGUAUCAACGAAAGGUGCAACUAAGUAUGCCACUUUCAUACUAUGAACUCAGAAUCAGGUGCGGCGCUUGCAAAUUGCUAGGGCACACUAAACGCAGCAAGAAAUGCAAACUAAAUAAGAAGUAAGUUUAUGUAUGCAUUGUAGGUUAUAAUUAUUUUUAACUUGUCAUUCAUUAGCUUUUCCUAUCUGUUAUCAUGUGUAGAAACAUGGUGGACGAAGAAGAGUAAAACACUUGCUAGAGUUAUGUACGGAUGAAUCCAGUGAUGUAGUAGUGAGGUGUUUACAAUGUGCUACUGUAUACAUGAUAUAUACUAUUGCAAGAGGCCAGGACCUUGAGAUAGCGCUUGUAGCAUAUAUGGACUAAAUAGGAGGCGGUCACUAAGGACUUUAAUCAUGGAAAAUGGAUAGCAUUUUAGCCUUUGUAAUGAUGGCAUGUUUUGUGUUGUCCACUCGAGUUGUAUUAUCGUAAAAAACUAGAAGAUACCCCGCACGUUGUUGCGGGAAUGUUUUGCAAUAUAUUCAUAGAGAAUUGGUUACGUGGAACAUGUAUAUGUUGUUACGGGAAUUUAUUGAUUGCAUGUUGUGGUGGACCUUUCUCCAUGCAUGUUGAAUGAUGAGGUGGCAUACUUGCAUGUUAAGAGAAAUAGGUUAGUGGGGGCUAGUUAUUUAGAUAUAGAAGAUGUAAUUAUGUGUGGUAAUAAUUAAUUUUUUUCACUCCUUUGGUUUAUUUACCGAAAACCAGCACACUUGGGGUCUAGAGUAUAGACUUGGUACCGAAAAACACACCAUUUUCCCCGUAAAAAAAAAAGAAAAACCCACCAUUUUAUGUUGUUGGUAGGCAGGCAUUUUUUAUUUUUUAUUUAAUUUUUUGCAUAUGUCACAUGUCAAAUUUUGCACACAAGUUUGAAUCAUUCAAUUUUUCUAUUUUAAUUAAAAUAGAAAUUUGACUAAAUUUUAAAAAAAAUUGGACCAAACAUUGCCACCAUGUGAGGAUGCCCAAAGUCAUUUUUUUGACCUCCUCCAAAUCACCUCAAAAAUUGCAAACAUGAUCUCCUACUCAAACAUAGAAAGGUUUCACAAUUUUUUGAUUUUUUUUGAAUUUUUUAUGCCCUGUCCAAUGCCAGUUAGAAACACUCGGCUUCACGGAGCCACUAUAAAUUGUAAAAAAUUAUAAAAAGGAAAUCUUUCAUAUUCUUUCUAUUUAUAUCAUGGAGAUCAUGCCUACAAAAGAAAAUUGAGGUGAUUUGGAAGUGGUGGGAAAAAUCACCUUUGUUCAAAAACUAACUUAAGUUAAGACCAAAUGGUCCCUUCGUAAUGCGGUGAUUUUUUCGACCACCUCUAAAUCACCUCAAUUUUUGCACACAUGAUCUCUUGCACAAACACAGCUAGGUUUCCAAGGUUUCAUAUUUUUUUUGAAUUUAUACUGCCCUCUAGACUGAUUGAUCAAAACAUCGGUCUAUACCUCAAGGGGUCAUUGUAAAAUACUUUUUUUUAAAUUUCUUUUAUAGCCAUGUUUGGCACAUGUAGGUCACCAUGUAAAAGAAAUUUGGGGUGAUUUGGAGGUGGUCAUAAGAAUCACCUUUGUUCAAAAACUGGCUUAAGUUAGACCAAAUGGUCCCUCCGUAAUGCGGUGAUUUUUUCGACCACCUCUAAAUCACCUCAAUUUUUGCACACAUGAUCUCUUGCACAAACAAAACUAGGUUUCCAAGGUUUCAUAUUUUUUUGAUUUUGUUUUGAAUUUAUACUGCCCUCUAGACUGACUGAUCAAAACAUCGGUCUAUACCUGAAGGGGGCAUUGUAAAAUAGUUUUUUUUAAUUUUCUUUCAUAGCCAUGUUUGGCACAUGUAGGUCACCAUGAAAAUUUGUCAUAUUUCAAUAUUUUAUGUUAUUUUUAAAAUAGAAAAUUGAAUGAUGCAAAUUUAUGAAAACCACAACUCCAUGUAAUUAAGUUUGCAACCUAUGUAAAUAAGACAAGUGUACUUUAUAACAAAAUAGUAGUAAUUGAUUUGGGAUGAAGUAACAUGUGACAGAUGGAAAAUAAUAGUAAUUAAUUUGGGAUGAAAAAUAUGUGACAGAUGGGAAAAAUAUGCGCCCUUACUAGCAGUAGAUUUCAACACAGAGGGCCUGCAUAUGACUAGAAACCCAUCAUUUUUGGGCCAGGAUACAUGCCCGUCAUGCACGAACUUCUACUGCUAGUAGGGCCCACAAGGCAGAGAGGUAUCAAUCAGAUGUUGUUUGGGUGAGAGAGGCUUGUGCUAAGCUACUGGCAGCCGAGUAUAUAAGCUGGUGCGACCACCUCUUGCUUGGCGAGGUGGGACUAAACUCUCACCACCGGAUGCUCUGCCCUAGUGCGCCCAUGCGAUAGGCCAGAUUAGAUGGGCUUUCACAGGCCGGCCUAACCCGCGUGUUGGACCAUGCGUGGGUAUAGAUGGCUAGGAUGGCCCAUGGUUUUCCUUUUGUUUACAUAAAAUUUACCUGACCCCUCAAAAAAUAACAUAUAAAUUACCUACUUUUUAAUUACUCCCUAUGAAUUCAAAAGGUAUUUUUAUCGAACACAACUUUUUAAAUAUUUAUAUUUUCUUUUCUUAUAAAUAAGUGACAUUUUCAAAAUUCUAAUAAGUAGGAUAAUAUAACUUUAUUAAAAAAUAUAGUACAUCUUAUUUCAAAUUCUUUUUUGGCACACACAAUUUUUAUCUAGUAUUACAUUACUCUUCUAGAUUUACAUUUUAUUUCCUUCACACUUUGAUGAUGGAAUAUUUGCUCUGUUAUUGCAAGAGUUGUUGAAAUGAUGGAAUAUUUGAUCUUUUUGCUUAUUCAAAUGAUGCAUUGAUGGAAUGUGUGAGGAUGAAGAAUUAUCAAUAACUUUACUAAACCCCAUGUACCAUAAUUCAUGACACAGCUAAUUUGGAACAUUGGCAGAUUCUUAAUUUGGUAGGAUUUGCACAUGGGCACAACAUGUUGCACUUGCCCACAGCAUGGAUAAGUGUUGCAGCAUGUGUGAAGCAACACUGAAGCAGCAUUUGUGAUCAUUGCACCAUCGGAACUCGUAAACUACACAUUGAAACAACAUCUAAACAGAAGGUAGCAUUCACCACAAAUAAAUUUAAGGCCACACAAAUAUAGAUAGCAUUCUAGAUUACCACCACAAGUACCAUCCAGUUCACAACAGAUCCAGUUCAGACACAUACUACGUUACAUUAAUAUAUAUACUAGAUUAGUAGAGCUAGUUCCCAAUAGUGCACACCCAGAUGCAGCUUUCCAAAAGUAAAACAUCAUCAAAUCUACUGAUGAUGAGUAGGGCUUCCAGCUUCUGAUGACCGGCAUGAUGUAGGGCAACUACACUGGAUACAAGACCUUCGCAAGGGCAGCAUGCUGCGCCCUGAUCUUAGGGUCGUCCCUGCUGACCGAUGAAGCCUGUGCAUGAUCCAAAAGAUGCUCAUAGAGCCCAUCCUUGGGCUUUGGCUUCAUGCAGUAGGGGCAUAUGAACUUCUUCCCCUUGUAGUAGCAAGAAAGACCCUUGUCCCUGAUCUUCUGCACCUCCUUCUCUAUGGAUGAUUCGAUGUUGGUGUGGUCCACCUCAUCUCCAGAUUCAUAAUGCACACAUGAAUGAAUUCCAUUAUUACUUAUAUAAAACUAGUGCCGAUAAUACAAUAUAGGCUUCAGCCUACCAUACAAUUGUGCUAUAAAUGGACUACUAUAUAUGUAUAGGCCUUCAGCCAUGCAAGCAAAUCACUUAAGGCAUCAGGUUCAUAUACAUGCCAGAGUUGUGGAUGAAGCAAACAUCAUCUGACCUUAAUUACCACAUGUCACCCAACUAGCUAGUUGGUCUUAGUCCUUUGCUUCCUCUACCAUCUGGCAGGACAGAGAAGAUAGAAACCUCACAGGUUCCCAAAUGAAACUAGAUAGCAGAAACACGUCGUAUGGACAGGAUUGUCUAGGUUUUGAGCCCAGCCUCUGUUUACAUCAUAGACUCUAUAGUCUAUAAUUACAUCCAUGAUUACAAAUUUAAGUUAAUGAACCUAUACUUUAAAUACAAAUCUUAAUUUACACUACUAUCUAAGUUUUGAGCCCAGCCUCUAUUUCCAUCUUACAUUCUCAACUCUACAUAAUUACAUCCAUGAUUUGAAAUUUAUACCUAAUAAACCUAUAUUGUAAAAUAAAACUCUUAAUUUACAUUAGUGUCUAAGUUUUGAGCCCACCCUCUGUUUCCAUCAUAUAUUCUCCACUGUAUAUGACAACAUGUCAUAUGAACUAAAUGAACAAUCUAAAUUUUCAGGGUGGGCUUACCUCAAAGACUUCGUCGUCGCCAUAGCCUUCGGCAUAUGGGUCUUUGAAGUCAGUCAUGUCCAGCUUCCUCUUCUUCUCCGCAGAACCAUCCACCUCACUAUAAAAUUACACUCAUUAGUACUAGUUACACAAGCCAACUGCAAAUUUUAAUAUGCACACAUGACACAUUGAUCAACCUAUCCUAACUAUGAUCAUACUUGCAUUUUCCAUUUCCAUGCACACAAUCUGAACAACAUAGCUAAUAUAACUGCAUAUUCUGGAAAACUUUCUAAUUACAGGAAACCUGCAUAAAAGAAUAAUUUAAAUGUACCUAAGCAUUUUUUGGGAUAAUGCAGCAAAGCUCCUACAUAUAUUAACAUAAUGCAGUAGUUACUUAGAUACCACUUCAACUAUAAAUGCAUACAUCUCCAGCUAACAUCUAAAAUUGCAUUACUUACCUAAACAACAAAAAGUUAUACUAUAGAUGAAUCAAGUAUCAUCUAAAUCAAUUCAUAGGCACAUCAAAAUUAAUGCAUUCCAUUUGGGCAUAUGACAUACAAAACUCCAAUCUGUGCAACAUUGAACCACAGAUCUAAUAUAAUAAUCAUAUAUGUUUGCAGCAUUGAACCACAGAUCUAAUAAUGAUAUUUGGUCUAUCUGUUCUUAAAUUCCCUCAUAAAUAAGGUGUUAAACCUCAUACUAACUAAAAUCUAAGAAGCAAAAUUUCAACUACUAAUCUAAUAAGCAUCUGAAAAAAACCAUCCCUCAAUCCGACUACUUCUAACCUAAUCUAAUAAUCAUAUGUGCUCCACCAUUCUUGCCAGAAUCAUAUACAGAAAUGAGAAAACCCUAAUGCUGAGAAAACCCUCCAUCCAACUAAUCUAACCCAAGAAACUUUUGGCCAAACCCUAGAAUCUAAAAACUACAACGAAAAUGGAUAAUGAAUUACCUUCUGCUCCACCUGCUCCUCGCUAGAGCCGGCGUCCACCUUCUCCACCUUGUGCGCCUCGCUAGAGCACGCCUCCACCUUCUCCACCUUUUGCGCCUCGCCGGAGCUCGCCAGAGCGGGCGCAUCUGGCUGGACUGCGCCGCUCCUGCCCGCCUCCACCUUCUCCAGAUCUGCAGCAUCUGCUGCACCGCCUUGGACGCCGGCACCUCCCUUCACCGCUGCGGGCGCCGCGACCUGCUACACCUGCGCCACCAGAUUUGCGCCCCAAUCGGGGCGCUCGCUUCCUGCGUCCUCCAUGGUGAUGGAGGUGAUGGAGAGGAUGCGGUGGGGGAGAGGGAGACAACAAGGCGGACGAGGAGAGGGAGAGGAGAGGGAGACGAUGCGGCGGGGGAAAUGGUGGGCGAUGCGGCCGGAGGUGGUUCCCCUCCUCAUUUAUAUGAUGGGACAGUUUUGACAUGUUCCCAUGGACACGUGCUGCCCCACGCGCGGGCGGUUGCAUGCGAAAACGAAACACCCGGGCGUAUACGAAUACGACCAUACGGUCGGGCAUAUGAACUAAUCGGGUCGUACGGGCCCCACAGGACUCCUCGACAGCUAUACACACGGGCAAAAAAGACGAUCGUGCCCCUCGUUUCGAACCGUUUUUGGUUAAUCCUGGCUGUCCUUGUGUUUCUCCCCCUUGCGUUCAGCCCAGGGGGGGUGCACCGGAGCAGAAACGAGUGUUCACUAGUUUGGCUAAAAAGAAUAGUCUCAAUGCCAUAUACAAUAAGAACUCACACUCAAGGAUGUCAUCUACCAUCUCGUCGGCGUCGGAGACAUGGAAAAGAUGGCACAUGAGCACGAGAAGGCAAGGGAAGCUACGCGAAGGGGCUCUCUCUAGGUCAGAGGAGCCGUGGGAGGCGAUGCGGACGACCAUAGGACCUCCUCGCCGACAAACCGAGCCAUGACUAGGGUUCACCGUGGGGCAUGUUCGGAGGUGGAAGUCAGCAUGAUGACAUGGAGUCGUAGUGGCGGGUCCCGUUCGGUAGUUGGCAGUGCUGAUUAAUAGUUUGAAAGUGCAUCCCCAAGAUACCCUAUUGGUUUCGAUGAUUUAUGACAAAACCAUUUUAGAGGACUAAUGAUUUCAAUAAGCUUGUUUUAGAGACUAUGACUAAUUUUCGUAUGCCGUCCUUGAUAGGUGGAACAUCAAUGAUGAUGUUACUGUUACAUUUUUCGUUCAAACAAGUUACAGGGAGCUACCACAUUGCCACCUCAAAAGAAGUAAUACUGGUUCCUAGCUAGUAGCCACACACAUGGAGCGACUCACGCAGCUCCAACCAAUUAAAGUUUCGUGAAUCUUCCAUGGCUAUUCAUUUGGCCUCGCUCGACGUCACCCGGCUCUGGUGACCACUUAUGUCCCGGAUGGAUGUCGCCGGCCACACGCCCCUCGAAGACGACGAGAUGAGCAGCGUGUGAUCCUCGUCGCCCCGCCCAUCCAAGCGAAGAUAAGACGCCCACUCCCUUCCCUCCACAUGGCACCCGCCCUCCAAUCCCUUACUUAUUCCCGCCCCCCUCACUCCUCCAUCCCCUAGCUCGCUCGCCUAUCCUCUCCACCUCCUCAGCCACACCUAGAGCAUCUUAGCUCCGGCUAGGUAGCUAGCAAUGGCCGCCGCACUGAGCCUCCGCGCGCCCUUCUCCCUGCGCGCCGUGGCGCCACCGGCGCCCCGCGUGGCCCUCGCGCCCGCGGCCCUCAGCCUCGCCGCCGCCAAGCAGGUGCGGGGAGCCAGGCUCCGCGCCCAGGCGACGUACAAGGUGAAGCUGGUGACGCCCGAGGGCGAGGUGGAGCUGGAGGUCCCCGAUGACGUCUACAUCCUCGACCAGGCCGAGGAGGAGGGGAUCGACCUGCCCUACUCCUGCCGCGCCGGCUCCUGCUCCUCCUGCGCCGGCAAGUUGGUGUCCGGCGAGAUCGACCAGUCCGACCAGAGCUUCCUCGACGACGACCAGAUGGAGGCAGGGUGGGUGCUCACCUGCCACGCCUACCCCAAGUCCGACAUCGUCAUCGAGACCCACAAGGAGGAGGAGCUCACCGCAUAAGCUGCUUUACCUAUCUCUCUUUGCAAGAUAAUAUCACGGACCCUGAGACCUGUGUAAACCCUGAGAGCUGAUUUCAUGCAUGCACGGACAUUGCCAGAUACACCGAAUUGUUUGUGCUCGAAUGAAUUGCUCGAUGCAUGGUUUGCUCAAGUAAUAAUGUCUUCGAAUUACUACCUUUUUGUACCGUAAGAUAUACUACUGCCGUAAUACUAGCGUGUACCUUGUACGUAACUCGACGUACUGAAAUGAAUCCUGAUGGCUGAGGCGUCUCUCUGAUUAAUAAUAUCUUCUCUUUAAUUAAGAGACUGCUGAAUUACUUGAUGAACAUCUUACCUGGGACUUUCUUCUAUAUCCAGAUAAUAGGUGCAUGCUACGACUUGUUUCAAUAUGAGUUACACAAUUUCCUCAUUAUUUUGUUUACCCACAAGGAGACCUCUUUUCCGCACUCAUUUUUGUCCUCACUACUGAUUUGCUCCAAUCCAUUUUCAAUGAAGCUUUGGACAACAAUUUGAUAGGUUUGCCCAUUAUCACUAAGAAUAACAGAGAUUUCCUUAUAAUCCAGUAUGCAGAUGACACCAUUAUUAUCUUGCAUGCAUGUCCCUUGCAAAUUCAACAAGUUCAGAACAUAUUGAUGCAUUUUCGGGUUUACACAGGUCUCAGGGUCAACUACAACAAAUCCAUGAUGGUUCCCAUGAAUGUACCUGCUCAUAACAUCAAGCAACUCUCAGCUAUUUUAGGUUGUGCCCACAGUAGUUUUCCCUUUACUUACCUUGGACUUCCUCUUGGCAUUUCUAAACCCAAGGUUGAAGAUUUUGAAAAGGAUUGGAUCUAGACUUGCUGGUUGCUCCACAAUGCUUUCCUAGGGAGAGAAACUCAUUCUUGUGAAAUCUGCUUUCACUAGCCUACCUACUUCCUUCAUGAGCAGUUUAGACCUCCCCAUAGGAGUUGUUGGCCAUAUUAAUAAAUACUUGAGACAUUGCUUUUGGAGGAAAUAUGGGAUGGACGACAGACGUACUUCUCUUAUAUUCUUGGGAUAAAAUUUGCCUUGCUAAGGAAGCUGGUGGACUUGGAGUUCUUGAUGUGCAAACUCAGAACAAAGCUUUGUUGAUGAAAGAUCUGCAUAAUUUUUUCAAUAGUUCUGACCUCCCUUGGGUGGACCUUAUGUGGAGCUCCUACUAUACUUCUACCCCCUCCUCAUGUCACACCUGUUGGUUCCUUCUGGUGGAAGUUUAUUCUCAAAUUAAUCCCUGAUUUUAAAGCCAUCUCUUCCUGCAGCAUGGGGCAAGGGAACUAUGUUCUUCUGUUAUUUGAUAAUUGGGAUGGUAACAGAUUCAUUGAUAGAUUCCCUGAGCUUCAUUCUUUUGUUGUGAAUGACCAAUUCUCAAUUGAGCAAGCAUUGCACAUCAACCCUCCAGAGGAUCUAUUCCAUAGGCCACUCUCCACCCAAACUUUCCAGCAGUUCCAGGGUUCCCAAAACUUUAUGAAUAAUAUUCAGUUUUCUGGCUCCAAAGACAAAUGGUCUUACAUCUGGGGAUCUUCUCAGUCCUCUAUUGCAAAGGUUUACAAAACCUUGAGGGUUAAACCACCUACACCACCUCUCUUCAACCUGUUAUGGAAGAGCUCAGUAAUCCUUUGAUAUAAGAUUUUCUUCUGGUUUCUCCUUCAUGAUAGACUGAAUUCAAGAGAGCUUCUACAAAGAAAAUCCUUGUGGCUACCCAAUUAUGAUUGUGGAAUGUGUGACACUAAAUCCUUGGAAACUGCUUUUCACUUGUUUUGGAACUGCCCUUUUUCUAUUCAAUGUUGGGAGACCUCGAUUCCGCAGAUAUUGAGGAACAACUCAGUUUACACAUAUAUCCAACUAGCGGUGCCCCCCCCCCUCCUGAUUUGGCCCUGGACAUCAUAAUUAUGGCUUCAUGGAAUAUAUGGAUUCAAAGAAACAAUGCAAUGUUCAAAAAUACCACACACAGUGUGGCCUCCUGGAAAAUAUUGCUUAGAAGAGAUCUCCAAAUUCUGGCUCACAGAAGACAACAAAGUAGCAAGACUGCAAGCCUGGAUUAAAGUUAACCUUUAAUUUCUCAUGUUGCCAAAAGGUGGGAUUGGUUGAGUUGUAUUUUCUUUUUUCUGUUUGUACAUACUUUUAUUAUUAAUGAAAAUUUAACCAUACAACUAUUGUUCUAUGAUCAGUGCCUAAAAAAUGUUUGAGGCUAGCAGAAUGUUUGUUUACAUGGUCCUCAUUUUUUUCUGAAAAGGGAUAAUAUGUUUGUAAGAUCGUGAAUGUCACCUAGAGGGGGGUGAAUAGGCGCUUUAAAAUAAUUACGGUUUAGGCUUGAACAAAUGUGGAAUAAAACUAGCGUUUAAUUUGUCAAGCACAAAACCUAAAACAACUAGGCUCACCUGUGUGCACUAACAACUUAUGCUAAGCAAGAUAAACAACUAAGUGAUAGAAAGAUAUAUAACAUGUCAUAUUAUGGCUAUCACAAAGUAAAGUGCAUAAGUAAAGGGCUUGGGUAAGAGAUAACUGAGGCACACGAAGACGAUGAUGUAUCCCGAAAUUCACACCCUUGCGGAUGCUAAUAUCCGUUUGGAGCGGUAUGGAGGCACAAUUGUUGGGGAACGUAGUAAUUUCAAAAAAAUUCCUACGCACACGCAAGAUCAUGGUGAUGCAUAGCAACGAGAGGGAAGAGUGUUGUCCAUGUACCCUCGUAGACCGAAAGCGGAAGCGUUAGAACAACGCGGUUGAUGUAGCCGUACGUCUUCACGGCCCGACCAAUCAAGCACCGAAACUACGGCACCUCCGAGUUCUAGCACACGUUCAGCUCGAUGACGUCCCUCGAACUCCGAUCCAGCCGAGUGUCAAGGGAGAGUUCCGUCAGCACGACAGCGUGGUGACGAUCUUGAUGUUCUACCGUCGCAGGGCUUCGCCUAAGCACCGCUACAAUAUUAUCGAUGAGGACUAUGGUGGAGGGGGGCACCGCACACGGCUAAGAGAUCAAGAGAUCAGUUGUUCUGUCUAUGGGGUGCCCCCCUCCCCGUAUAUAAAGGUGUGGAGGAGGGGGCCGACCAAGGGGGUGGCGCGCCCUAGGGGGGAGUCCAACUCCCACCGGGAGUAGGACUUCCCCCUUUCCUAUUAGGAGAGGGAGAGGGAAGGAAGAGGAAGGAGGGAGGAAGGAAAGGGGGGACCGGGCCCCCUCCCAAUUCGGAUUGGGCUUGGGGGGGCGCCCCCUCCCUUGCUCCUUUCCCCUCCUUUCCACUAAGGCCCAAUAAGGCCCAUAUACCUCCCGGGGGGGUCCGAUAACCUCCCGGAGCUCCGGUAUUGUCCCAAUCUCACCCGGAACCUUUCCGAUGUCCAAAUAUAGUCGUCCAGUAUAUCGAUCUUUAUGUCUCAACCAUUUCGAGACUCCUCGUCAUGUCCGUGAUACACAUCCGGGACUCCAAACAACCUUCGGUACAUCAAAACUCAUAAACUCAUAAUAUAACUGUCAUCGAAACCUUAAGCAUGCGGACCCUACAGGUUCGAGAACUAUGUAGACAUGACUGAGACACGUUUCCGGUCAAUAACCAAUAGAGGAACCUGGAUGUUCAUAUUGGCUCCUACAUAUUCUAUGAAGAUCUUUAUCGGUCAAACCGCAUAACAACAUACGUUGUUCCCUUUGUCAUCGGUAUGUUACUUGCCCGAGAUUCUAUCGUCUGUAUCUCAAUACCUAGUUCAAUCUCGUUACCGGCAAGUCUCUUUACUCGUUAUGUAAUGCAUCAUUCCGUAACUAACUCAUUAGUUACAUUGCUUGCAAGGCUUAUAGUGAUGUGCAUUACCGAGAGGGCCCAGAGAUACCUCUCCGACAAUCGGAGUGACAAAACCUAAUCUCGAAAUACGCCACUCAACAUGUACCUUUGGAGACACCUGUAGAGCUCUUUUAUAAUCACCCAGUUACGUUGUGACGUAUGGUAGCACACAAAGUGUUCCUCCGGUAAACGGGAGUUGCAUAAUCUCAUAGUUGUAGGAACAUGUAUAAGUCAUGAAGAAAGCAAUAGCAACAUACUAAACGAUCAAGUGCUAAGCUAACAGAAUGGGUCAAGCCAAUCACAUCAUUCUCGUAAUGAUGUGAUCCCGUUAAUCAAAUGACAACUCAUGUCUAUGGCUAGGAAACACAACCAUCUUUGAUUCAAUGAGCUAGUCAAGUAGAGGCAUACUAGUGACAUUAUGUUUGUCUAUGUAUUCACACAUGUAUCAAGUUUCCGGUUAAUACAAUUCUAGCAUGAAUAAUAAACAUUUAUCAUGAAAUAAGGAAAUAAAUAAUGACUUAAAUAUUGCCUCUAGGGCAUAUUUCCUUCAGUCUCCCACUUGCACUAGAGUCAAUAAUCUAGUUCACACCGCAAUGUGAUUUAACACUAAUAUUCACAUAUGUAUGUGAUUAAUACCCAUAGUUCACAUCGUCAUGUGAUCAACACCCAAAGGGUUUCUAGAGUCAAUAAUCUAGUUCACAUCCCUAUGUGAUUAACAACCAAAGAGUACUAAGGUAUGAUCAUGUUUUACUCAUGAGAGAAGUUUAGUCAACGGGUCUAUCACAUUCAGAGCCGUAUGUAUUUUGCAAAUAUUCUAUGUCUACAAUGCUCUGUACGAAGCUACUCUAGCUAAUUCCUCCCACUUUCAAUAUGUAUCCAGAUUGAGACUUAGAGUCAUCUGGAUUGGCGUAAAAGCUUGCAUCAUUGUAACCUUUUACGAUGAGCCCUUUUAUCACUUCCAUUAUCGAGAAAUAUUUCCUUAGUCCUCACUAAGGAUAUUCUUGACCGUUGUUCAGUGAUCUACUCUUAGAUCAAAAUUGUACUCCCUUGCCAAACUCAGAACAAAGUAUACAAUAGGUACAUAACAUAGCAUAAUUUAUAGAACCUAUGACUAAGGCAUAGGGAAUGACUUUUCAUUCUCUUUCUAUUUUUUGCCAUGGUCGGGUUUUGAGUCUUACUCAACUUUCACACCUUGCAAUACAGGCAAGAACUCCUUCUUUGACUGAUCCAUUUUGAACUACUUCAAAAACUUAUUAAGGUAUGCACUCAUUGAAAAAUCCUAUCAAGCGUCUUGAUCUAUCUCUAUAGAUCUUGAUGCUCAAUGUGUAAGCAGCUUCACUGAGGUGUUUCAUUGAGAAACUCUUAUUCAAGUAUCCUUUUAUGCUUUCCAAAAAAAUUCUACAUUAUUUCCGAUCAACAAUAUGUUAUUCACAUAUACUUAUCAGAAAUGUUGUAGUGCUCCCACUCACUUUCUUGUAAAUAGAGGCUUCACUGAAGUCCGUAUAAAACUAUAUGCUUUGAUCAACUUAUCAAAGCGUAUAUUCCAACUCCGAGAUGCUUGCACCAGUCCAUAGAUGGAUCGCUGGAGCUUGCACAUUUUGUUAGCACUUUUAGGAUUGACAAAACCUUCUGGUUGCAUCAUAUACAACUCUUCUUUAAGAAAACCAUUAAGGAAUGCAGUUUUGACAUCCAUUUGCCAGGUUUCAUAAAAUAUGGCAAUUGCUAACAUGAUUCGGACAGACUUAAGCAUCGCUACAGUUGAGAAAAUCUCAUUGUAGUUAACACCUUGAACUUGUCGAAAACCUUUUUGCGACAAGUCGAGCUUUGUAGAUAGUAACACUACUAUCAACGUCUAUCUUCCUCUUGAAGAUCCAUUUAUUUAUGGCUUGCCGAUCAUUGGGAAAGUCCACCAAAGUCCACACUUUGUUCUCAUACAUGGAUCCUAUCUCAGAUUUCAUGGCCUCCAGCCAUUUCGCGGAAUCUGGGCUCAUCAUCGCUUCCUCAUAGUUCGUAGGUUUAUCAUGGCCUAGUAACAUGACUUUCAGAACAGGAUUACCAUACCACUCUGGUGUGGACCGUACUCUGGAAGACCUACGAGGUUCUAUAGUAACUUGAUCUGAAGUUUCAUGAUCAUCAUCAUUAGCUUCCUCACUAAUUGGUGUAGGAAUCACUGGAACUGAUUUCAGUGAUGAACUGUUUUCCAAUUCGGGAGAAGGUACUAUUACCUUAUCAAGUUCUACUUUUCUCCCACUCACUUCUUUCGAGAGAAACUUCUUCUCUAGAAAGGGUCCAUUCUUGGCAACGAAUGUCUUGCCUUCGGAUCUGUGAUAGAAGGUGUACCCAACAGUUACUUUUGGGUAUUCUAUGAAGAUGCACUUCUCCGAUUUAGGUUUGAGCUUAUCAGGAUGAAACUUUUUCACCUAAGCAUCCCAACCUCAAACUUUAAGAAACGACAGCUUAGGUUUCUUGCUAAACCAUAGUUCAUAUGGUGUCGUCACAAUGGAUUUAGAUGGUGCCCUUUUAACGUGAAUGCAGCUAUCUCUAAUGCAUAACCCCAAAACGAUAGUGGUAAAUCAGUAAGAGACAUCAUAGAUUGCACCAUAUCCAAUAAAGUGCGGUUACGAUGUUCGGACACACCAUAAUGUUGUGGUGUUCCAGGUGGCAUGAACUGUGAAACUAUUCCACUUUUUUUUAAUUGAAGACCAAACUCAUAACUCAAAUAUUCAUCUCCACGAUCAGAUCGUAGAAACUUUAUUUUCUUGUUACGGUGAUUUUCCACUUCACUCUGAAAUUCUUUGAACCUUUCAACUAUUUCAGACUUAUGUUUCAUCAAGUAGAUAUACCCAUAUCUUCUCAAAUCAUCUGUGAAGGUCAGAAAAUAACGAUACCCGCCACGAGCCUUAAUACUCAUUGGUCUGCAUACAUCAGUAUGUAUUAUUUCCAACAAGUCAGUAGCUCGUUCCAUUGUUCUGGAGAACGGAGUUUUAGUCAUCUUGCCCAAAAGGCACGGUUCGCAAGCAUCAAAUGAUUCAUAACCAAGUGAUUCCGAAAAUCCAUCUUUAUGGAGUUUCUUCAUGCGCUUUACACCGAUAUGACCCAAACGAUAGUGCCACAAAUAAGUUGCACUAUCAUUAUUGACUUUGCAUCUUUUGGCAUCAAUAUUAUGAAUAUGUGUAUCACUACGAUCGAGAUCCAAUAAACUAUUUUCAUUGGGUGUAUGACCAUUGAAGGUUUUAUUCAUGUAAACAAAACAACAAUUAUUCUUUGACUUUAAAUGAAUAAUCGUAUUGCAAUAAACAUGAUCAAAUUAUAUUCAUGCUCAACGCAAAUGCUAAAUAACAUUUAUUUAGGUUUAACACUAAUCCCGAUAGUAUAGGGAGUGUGUGAUGAAUAUCAUAUCAAUCUUGGAACUACUUCCAACACUCAUCGUCACUUCCCCUCAACUAGUCUCAGUUUAUUAUGUAACUCCUGUUUCGAGUUACUAAUCUUAGCAACCCAACAAGUAUCAAAUACUCAGGGGCUACUAUAAACACUAGUAAGGCACACAUCAAUAACCUGUAUAUCAAAUAUGCCCUUGUUCACUUUGCCAUCCUUCUUAUCCACCAAAUAUUCAGGGCAUUUCCGCUUUCAGUGAUCAUUUACUUUGUAGUAGAAGCACUCAAAUUCAGGCUUUGGUCCAGCUUUAGGCUUCUUCACGGGAGUGACAACUUGCUUGUCAUUCUACUUGAAGUUCCCUUUCUUUCCCUUUGCCUUUUCUUGAAACUAGUGUUCUUGUCAAUCAUCAACACUUGAUGCUCUUUCUUGAUUUCUACCUUCGUCGAUUUCAACAUCACAAAGAGCUCGGGAAUUGUUUUCGUCAUCCCUUGCAUACUAUAGUUCUUCACGAAGUUCUAGCAACUUGGUGAUGGUGACUAGAGAACUUUGUCAAUCACUAUCUUAUCUAGAAGAUUAACUCCCACUUGAUUCAAGCGAUUGUAGUACCCAGACAAUCUGAGUACAUGCUCACUGCUUGAGCUAUUCUCCUCCAUCUUUUAGCUAUAGAACUUGUUGGAGACUUCAUAUCUCUUAACUCGGGUAUUUGCUUGAAAUAUUAACUUCAACUCUUGGAACAUCUCAUAUGUUCCAUGAUGUUCAAAACGUCUUUGAAGUCCCGAUUCUAAGCCGUUAAGCAUGGUGCACUAAACUAUUAAGUAGUCAUCAUAUUGAGCUAGCCGAACGUUCAUAAUGUCUGCAUCUGCUCCUGCAAUAGGUAUGUCACCUAGCGGUGCAUCAAGGACAUAACUCUUCUGUGCAGCAAUGAGGACAAUCCUCAUAUCACAGAUCCAAUCCGCAUCAUUGCUACUAACAUCUUUCAACACAGUUUUCUCUAGGAACAUAUCAAAAUAAACAUAGGGAAGCAACAACGCGAGCUAUUGAUCUACAACAUAAUUUGCAAAAUACUACCAGGACUAAGUUCAAGAUAAAUUUAAGUUCAAUUAAUCAUAUUACUAAAGAACUCCCACUUAGACAGACGUCUCUGUAGUCAUCUAAGUGAUCACGUGAUCCAAAUCAACUAAACCAUGUCCGAUCAUCACGUGAGAUGGAGUAGUUUUCAAUGGUGAACAUCACUAUGUUGAUCAUAUCUACUAUAUGAUUCACGUUCGACCUUUCGGUGUCCGUGUUCCGAGGCCAUAUCUGUAUAUGCUAGGCUCGUCAAGUUUAACCUAAGUAUUCUGCGUGUGCAACACUUUUGCACCCGUUGUAUUUGAACAUAGAGCCUAUCACACCCGAUCAUCACGUGGUGUCUCAGCAUGAAGAACUUUCACAAUGGUGCAUACUCAGGGAGAACACUUCUUGAUAAUUAGUGAGAGAUCAUCUUAUAAUGCUACCGUCAAUCAAAGCAAAAUAAGAUGCAUAAAGGAUAAACAUCACAUGCAAUCAAUAUAAGUGAUAUGAUAUGGCCAUCAUCAUCUUGUGCUUGUGAUCUCCAUCUCCGAAGCACCGUCGUGAUCACCAUCGUCACCGGCGCGACACCUUGAUCUCCAUCGUAGCAUCAUUGUCGUUUCGCCAUAUAUUGCUUCUAUGACUAUCGCUACCGCUUAGUGAUAAAGUAAAGCAAUUACAGGGCGCUUGCAUUUCAUACAAUAAAGCGACAAGCAUAUGGCUCCUGCCAGUUGCCGAUAACUCGGUUACAAAACAUGAUCAUCUCAUACAAUAAAAUAUAGCAUCAUGUCUUGACCAUAUCACAUCACAACAUGCCCUGAAAAAACAAGUUAGACGUCCUCUACUUUGUUGUUGCAAAUUUUACGUGGCUGCUACGGGCUGAGCAAGAACUGUUCUUACCUACGCAUCAAAACCACAACUAUAGUUUGUCAAGUUAGUGUUGUUUUAACCUACGCAAGGACCGGGCGUAGCCACACUCGGUUCAACUAAAGUUGGAGAAACUGACACCCGCCAGCCACCUGUGUGCAAAGCACGUCGAGAGAACCAGUCUCGCGUAAGUGUACGCGUAAUGUCGCUCCGGGCCACUUCAUCCAACAAUACCGCCGAACCAAAGUAUGACAUGCUGGUAAGCAGUAUGACUUGUAUCGCCCACAACUCACUUGUGUUCUACUCGUGCAUAUAACAUCUACGCAUAAAACCAGGCUCUGAUGCCACUGUUGGGGAACGUAGUAAUUUCAAAAAAUAUCCUACGCACAUGCAAGAUCAUGGUGAUGCAUAGCAACGAGAGGGAAGAGUGUUGUCCACGUACCCUCGUAGACCGAAAGCGGAAGCGUUAGAACAAUGCGGUUGAUGUAGUCGUACGUCUUCACAGCCCGACCGAUCAAGCACCGAAACUACUGCACCUCCGAGUUCAAGCACACGUUCAGCUCGAUGACGUCCCUCGAACUCCGAUCCAGCCGAGUGUCAAGGGAGAGUUCCGCCAGCACGACGGCGUGGUGAAGAUCUUGAUGUUCUACCCUCGCAGGGCUUCGCUUAAGCACCGCUACAAUAUUAUCGAGGAGGACUAUGGUGGAGGGGGGCACCGCACACGGCUAAGAGAUCAAGAGAUCAAUUGUUGUAUCUAUGGGGUGCCCCCCUCCCCCGUAUAUAAAGGAGUGGAGGAGGGGGCCGGCCAAGGGGGGUGGCGCACCCUAGGGGGAGUCCAACUCCCACCGGGAGUAGGACUUCCCCCUUUCCUAUUAGGAGAGGGAGAGGGAAGGAAGAGGAAGGAGGGAGGAAGGAAAGGGGGGCCGGCCCCCUCCCAAUUCAGAUUGGGCUUGGGGGGGGUGCCCCCUCCCUUGCUCCUUUCCCCUCCUUUCCACUAAGGCCCAAUAAGGCCCAUAUACUUCCCGGGGGGUUCCGAUAACCUCCCGGAGCUCCGGUAUUGUCCCAAUCUCACCCGGAACCUUUCCGGUGUCCAAAUAUAGUCGUCCAAUAUAUUGAUCUUUAUGUCUCGACCAUUUCAAGACUCCUCGUGAUGUCUGUGAUCACAUCCGGGACUCCGAACAACCUUCGGUACAUCAAAACUCAUAAACUCAUAAUAUAACUGUCAUCGAAACCUUAAGCGUGCGGACCCUACGGGUUCGAGAACUAUGUAGACAUGACCGAGACACGUUUCUGGUCAAUAACCAAUAGCGGAACCUGGAUGUUCAUAUUGGCUCCUACAUAUUCUAUGAAGAUCUUUAUCGGUCAAACUUCAUAACAACAUACGUUGUUCCCUUUGUCAUCGGUAUGUUACUUGCCCGAGAUUCGAUCGUCGGUAUCUCAAUACCUAGUUCAAUCUCAUUACCGGCAAGUCUCUUUACUCGUUAUGUAAUGCAUCAUUCUGUAACUAACUCAUUAGUUACAUUGCUUGCAAGGCUUAUAGCGAUGUGCAUUACCGAGAGGGCCCAGAGAUACUUCUCUGACAAUUGGAGUGCCAAAACGUAAUCUCGAAAUACGCCAACUCAACAUGUACCUUUGGAGACACAUGUAGAGCUCCUUUAUAAUCACCAAGUUACGUUGUGACGUUUGGUAGCACAGAAAGUGUUCCUCCGGUAAACGGGAGUUGCAUAAUCUCAUAGUUGUAGGAACAUGUAUAAGUCAUGAAGAAAGCAAUAGCAACAUACUAAACGAUCAAGUGCUAAGCUAAUAGAAUGGGUCAAGUCAAUCACAUCAUUCUCCUAAUGAUGUGAUCCCAUUAAUCAAAUGACAACUCAUGUCUAUGGCUAGGAAACACAACCAUCUUUGAUUCAAUGAGCUAGUCAAGUAGAGGCAUACUAGUGACAUUAUGUUUGUCUAUGUAUUCACACAUGUAUCAAGUUUCCGGUUAAUACAAUUCUAGCGUGAAUAAUAAACAUUUAUCAUGAAAUAAGGAAAUAAAUAAUAACUUUAUUAUUGCCUCUAGGGCAUAUUUCCUUCAAAAAUGCCCCCCAGGAAACCACUAGGGCCACCGUAAUCUCCUCAUGCCCUUGCACAAUGCAAGAUGCCAUGAUUCCACUAAGGGACCCUUGAGGGCAGUUAUCGAACCCGUACAAAUGGCAACCCUAGGGGGAGGUCACCGAACCCGUACACUUUGGCAACCCUUGGGGCGGUCACUGGAACCCGUACAAAUUCCUCGGUGCAAUCUCCACAACCUAAUUGGAGACCCCGACGCUUGCCCGGAGCUUUACACCACAAUGAUUGAGCUCCGAGACACCACAAACCAUCUAGGACGCCCAAGCACCCAAGAGGAACAAGCUCUAGGGUACCAAGCACCCAAGAGUAAUAAGCUUCUCAACUUUUCACUUCCACGUAUCAACAUGGAGAACUCAAAUUGAUGCAACUAGUGCAAAGGCAAGGGCACACGAAGUGCCCAAGUCCCUCACUCUCAAAUCCCAUCAAAGCAACAAAAGCUAUGAAGGAAAAUGGGAGGAAGAACAAGAAGGAGAACACCAAGAACUCCAAGAUCUGGAUCCAAGGGGUUCCCCUCACAUAGAGGAGAAAGUGAUUGAGGAAAUGUGGAUCUAGAUCUCCUCUCUCUCUUUCCCCCCAGAAAAUAGCAAGAAUCCAUUGAUUAAUUGAGAGAUAGCCAGCUCGAAGAAGUUCAACAAUGGGGGAAGAACACGAGCUCAAAGGAUAAGAUGCAAUGGGGAAGAAGACCCCCUUUUAUAGGCCUCUCCAAAUCCAACUGUUAUGCACACAGCCCAUGCACAAGCGGUAGUACCGCUCGGGCGAGCGGUACUUCCACUGGCAUGGUAGUUUCAUCCAUAAUGAGCAACUAAGAAACUCAAGGAGGCGGUAGUGCUACCGAAGCGGUACUACCGCUCCCAUACUACCGCUAGGCGUUGCGUGUAUAGGUGAAACACCGAUAGUAUAGUAGAGCAGCGCGGUACUACCACCCACUACUGCCGCUCUACUUCCGCACAGAGGAAAAUGUAUCCAGAGGCUAAAAUAUAAUCGGAAGUAGCAGCGGUAGUGAAGGGACCGUGGUACCGCUUAUAAGCGGUACUACCGCCCACUAUUGCUGCUCUACUUCCGCUUGAAGGAAUACAAAGAGCAAAACAUAAGCGGUACUCCAUGCGGUAGCUCAUAGUGUAAGUACCGCAUAAGCGGUACUACCGUGGAGCUGGCCGGAACUACCGCUUGGGAGCUAAAAACUGCCCAAGCACAAAAGGAUGCAAGCGAGACCGAAACUGCCAUAACUUCUGCAAAUGAACUCUGAAUUGAGCAAACUCAAGCUUGUUGGAUAGAUGACGACAAAUAGUAAGAAGUGGCAGGGCAAGUAUGCCUAUUAUAUAUAGGAAUGAAACCUCUAUCAGUGAAGAACCAUCAUAUACUCCCACAUCAAAAACAUCAUAGAGGAUGCACAUGAACUCUGUUUCGAAGAACUCGAGCUUGUCAUGAAGAUGACCAUAAGCUAUAAAACUCACAAAGAGAAACACCAAAUAAGAACCAAGAAAGAUGAUGCAAGGAUGCAAUGGUUUGAGCUCUCUACGAACGAUAUGAUCAAGCUACUAACUUGAGAGCCCCCCCUUGAUAGUAUGACAAUCGAUCAUAUAACCCGGUCUCCCAACUACCACCAUGAGACCGGUAAAAUAGAAAACCUAUCAAGGGCAAACCUUUGCCUUGCACAUAGUCCACUUGAGAUAGAUGAUGACGAUCUUGACUUCCACAAGUUGGACCAUGAUAACCCACAAGUAUAGGGGAUUACAGUAGUUUUCGAGGGUAGAGUCACUACUAGGAAAAGGCCUGCUAGUGGCGCACCUGUUUUGGCUACUAAUGGCGCACUACAGGUUCGCCAGUAGCAUCACGCCAUUAGUAAUUAAUACUAAUGGCGCACCCCUGGUGCGCCAUUAGUAUACCAGAUACUAAUGGCGCACCAGAGAGUGUGCCAUUAAUAUAUCACACGGUGCGCCAUUAGUAUGCCUCCCAGGGGGCCAUAUUUACCCAUGUGCUCUGGCUUACUAAUGGCGCACUUGUAGAUGAUGUGCCACUAGUGUGCUUGUUGCAGUGCGCCACUAAAGUGCAGAGUGGUGUGCCACUAGUAUGAAUAUUAGGGAUUUUUUUUCUUUUCUGAUAUUUGCACAUGUUACAAAACAUAUUACUGCACAGAAUAUAGACAACACAACAUAUAAACAGCAGAUUUAUCGAAUACAAUAGAAGAUUAGUCUCCAAAUACAAUUCAUCAUAUUAGUCUCCGAAUUUAAAAUACCAAACAAAGUUAGAACAUUACAAGUCUCGAGACUGCGAGUAGCGGGUUUGUCUUCACAUUACAAGUCGAUAUCGAUCAUCUAAACUACCAUCACAUAGAAGAGAGCUGCGGUCAUCACGAUGAGCAUCAUCACGAUGAAACUGGUCUUCAACCGGUUCCUCCAACGCUCCCUCCUCUCUCCCGCUAGAUAGCGUGUGUAUCUAACUUCCACCUCCGCCCUAGUGGUGUACCCUUUGUAACUGUUAUCGCUGAAACAGUGAACCUGUCUCCAACACUCCUCCCAGUCGUCGUAGACUCCGGGAACCUUACCCUUGUACACAACAUACGAUGACAUAUCUAUGCACUAGCUAAACAAAAUGUUAGUAGCAAUUCACAGACAAUACAUAAGCAAUAUAUAAGUAUGCAACAAAAGGAUCGGAAGAGAAAAGCAACACAUUAAUAGCACGAUUCAUGGUCCUACUAAUAAAUAGCAUCGAUUACAUAUAAGUUGAACGACUAUCCAAACCAAAGAGACAUACAAGUUCAUUAAAGUUUAAUAUUACAACAUGAGCCAAUCGACAUUUCAGAACUACAUAGCAUCACUACUUUCGACUCGACUCAGGGACCGGAGGGUGGAUGAAGCCGCCGUCUUUCGUGAUGGUCAUGAAAUUGCGGGCGUUGUCAGCCUGCAUUUGUAGCAUUGUUUCUAUCUCACUGUUGGACAGUUGAUAUCUGAGGUAGAACUGCCCCGAGGUACGAAGGACAUCUUGAUGGAUGAUUUUCGCAAACUCCGACUGGAUGCGAUAGAAUUCUUGUCUGAUGUCUGCGUCCUGGAUUGCCGACAAGCGUGUGGCCCCGUACGAUCGCCCACAUGUGAUGGAGGGCAUAGUAGGCAUCCUUUUGACUUCCAGGCGGCUGAUUGACGUAGAGGAACAUCGUAUUGUGGGUGAACAUGUGCUUGCCGUACCUACGAAUUGUCCUGGUGAAGGUGCCUCCAGAUCUGGCGUAGCCGGGAAGAACAUCAUCAAGAACUUUCUUGAUAUUUGUGUAGUCUUUCUUCGACUGACGGUCUGAGUCGAAAUACAUGGCCAUGGAAUAUUUCAGGCUUAAGAGGAUGAGUGUGCAACAUGUGUCACUGCACAAAACACGGAAUGUUAGAAAAAAAAGAACGAUCAAAAUCUAAGAAAUCAUAUGUUACGGGGCGGUGAGGGGAUGACUUACUCGGGAAAGUAAGGCACGAGGAAGUUAUCCUUAUCUGGGUUUGCCAGAAUGACGCCUUCGAGGUGUGAACUCGCGACUUGCCGGUCCCCAGCGCUGCCCAAGAUCUUGGCACGCAUGUAGAAGGGGUCGACUAUCACGAUGUCCGGGGUCUUGUAUCUAAUAAUCCGCAUCUCCAUACUCAGCGAAAAUAGCCGAAUGAAGGUGUAGUGCAGCGGAUGAAGGUUAAACAUAGUGAAGAUGUCAUCAAACCACAGGACGAUUGUACCCCCGAUGGCGCUAUCCACAAAGCCCUUGCCCUCUGGCACCUUGGCCACAAAAAUCGGGUAUGCCACAUCAUUCUCGAAAAGACGCUGCUUCUCCAAAGAAAGAACACUGUCAUGCAGACUCUGCAUAGCACCGGUUGCAGCAUUGAGCAGAUUAGUCGGUAGCAUCGGCCUACCCGCCACAUGCACCCUCCUCGAGAUAUCCUUAGGUGAAGGUGGCCCGUCCUGAGAACGGAUCGUACUCGGUGCCGGCUGGCUCGCACCGCCCUUGUUAUUCUUUUGUUUCCGUCCCAUCUUCUUCUGAUGUAAUGGGAUCGAGUUCUGCUCAGAGACCGCCUUCUUGAGUGUGUUGGGGCUGAUAAUAUUUCGCACCUCAACUAUCUGAGGCUCGGUGAAGGCGGCAGCUGGAGGUGUCUCCUGAGAACUAAACGCCAGAUGACGCCUGUUGCAAUUGGGUUUCUCCGUGGUACCAGCUAGACUGCGGUCGUCUUUUGCAGGGUUGGGUUCUUGAGAAGGAGGCCCCAAGAAUUCGUCACUAUACCCAUGUUCGGCAAAGUACUUAUCAACGUUGGUAAAUGUAUCGUCGUUGUCAUCGUCGUCGUUUGGAUCCUGUGCCAUAUGCAUGUCCGGCAUGUCCAGUAGCGUUGCGGCGGUCUUGCCAUGGCUUGGCACCGGCACGACUAGCGGUGUUGUCCGUGGGGUGCUGUCCCCCGCCCCCAAACGAAUUUGGCUCUUCAGCCAAAGCAGGGGCCAGCUUACGCAGGCGCUGAGGGUCAUCAAAUCAUCUUCGUCGGCCCCAGUGGGUCGAAUCAGAGGUAAAAACUCGUCGUAGCCUGGCAGCACCCGAACCAGUUCAACCAUAUACACGGUGGGUGGCAUCGGAUUACCGUGGAACACGGGGUUGCCCGGUUGAACGAUUCUGCCCUUGGCAACAUCGAUCAACUCGCCGCCCACGAAGUGCAGGAGAGUGCAUGGAAUGUCGGCGGCACCCUGUGAAAACAUGUAGGGCGUCAGGGAUGCCCAGUCAAAGGCAAGGAGAUGAAGUCAUCGGCCGAGAGGCUUAGUUACCGUGAUGGCGUCGAUCUCGGCUAAUGUCGAGGCACCGCCAAUGGCGGGCAUGCAACUGACGGAGGGGCCGCUUGCUGCCGAGGUGCCGGCCGGCGUACACCCGGGUGCAUUAAGCUCCAAUGCCCGUGCCGGCGCCGGAGACACCAAUACCGCCUCCGCCAGAGACACCAAUGGCGCCACCUGCGCGUUGUGCGCGUUGCUGGCCGUGAAGCUGGGAACCGGGGGCGGCCCCUGUUGGCCGCCCACAAUCCACGCCUGCAGCCCCUCAAUCAAGGUAGGCACAAUGGCGGUGAGCGUCGUUCCCAGUUGGUGUUGCACUAGCUCUUGGACCAUCUCCGGAAUCCGCACCACUUGUGCCUUGAGUUCUUGAACCUUGCGCGACUGGCUUUCUGAGCUGGUCUUUCUCUCCUUUCGCCCACCUGCGUUAUAGUAUGACGACCAUUUUGUGGACAAGCCUUUGUCGGCCACACGACCAGCUGAUGACGGCUUACUGAACUUAUCCUUGUUUUUCAUUAUGUUGAACGCCCUAUUUAAAGUGUUGUCCCAAGGGGAGCUCUGAGACGACCCCGCGCUACUGCUUUCAGUCUCCCGCGGAAGGAAUGUGAACCAUUUAGAAAUUUGGCUUCAUUAAUUAGAAUGCAACCAUAUGGAGCUAAUUACGCGGGGGUGUAUUCCUUACCAGAACACGCUCAAGCGCCUUGGUCUUCGCAUCCGUGGUAAGCUCCUUUGUUACUGGGUCCUCCUUGUACCGGUCCCUGACAUAGUUCCUGGUCUGCUUGUCACAGUAUUUCUCGAAGCGGGGCGGUAGGCCUUGCUCGGCACGCUCCGCAUCCUCCUUGUCCCAUAUAAGUUCCGCCACUCUGUAACCGCCGGGACCGAGUUGGUGGACCCCUAAAUUCAAGUCCCGCAUUUCUUUCCUCCACUGACUUGAUUCCACGGUCGUGCUUCUCUCACACUUGAUCUUGAACUCCUUGUAGUCAUCUUCGUUGAUCGAAGGAUUUUUCGCCUUGAUCUUCUCAUAACUAUCACCUUUGUCAAUCAUUCUCUUCACCGCGCUUCUCCAAGUAGACAGGGCCGUGCUCAUCUUCAUGAGGGCGGCACUGUUCACUUUAUUCCCUGAGAGGCGUUUGUUUGCAAAAUCAGCGGGGAACUUGUAUCGUUCGUGUAGCUUCAUGAAGAGGAGGCUGCGCAAAUUCCCUCGGUCAGGAUGCCUUAGGUUCUCGGUGUUGAUCGAGACGGUGCUCCGAAGAAUGCACCCGAGCUGAACCGAGUACCCCUUGACUAAUUCUUUGGGCACCGUUGGAUGCCCGUCGGAGGACACUUCAGUAAAUUCCUCCUUGACGGUGCCGAGCAUGUUCGGGCGCCGGUCCUUCUGUUGCCUCUUUGGUUGGCUGCCAUCUGUGUGUGCGCUGCCAUCAUCAGUGGUGGCAUCCUCGGCGGCACCAUCAGUGGUGUCAUCCCCGACGCCACUAGGGGUUGUGUAGUCAGGAUCGGUGUCUUCCGCGGCAUCCUCAUAGCGGUGAGGUUCUUCCUCCAUCUCUUGGGACAGCUCACAGAAUUGCUUGCCCGAACCGCCGGCCUCAUCGUUGUGGGCCAUGUUUUGCUCUAAAUAGGAAAGAAGUUUGGUCAAAAAGUUGGUUAUUGUCAAGGAACAAGAUCAUGGUCUCAUCAUUUAGGAUUUAUCGACAUCGAGGCAUCCUAAAAGCUAAGCUUUUAUCGUUUAGGGUUUGUCGACGCCGUGGCACCCUAAAAGCCUAAGCUUUCAUCAUUUAAGUUUUUAUCGACACCGAGGCACCCUAAAAGCCAAGGUUUUAUAAUUUAGGGUUUGUCGACGCUGAGGCACCCUAAAUGCUAAGUUAAGUUUUCAUCAUUUAGGGUUUAUCGAUGCCGAGGCACCCUAGGUUGACUGAUAUAUAUGGGUAUCUUCUAAUAAUAUACCCUAUCAAGAAAAGGGAAGGAUAAUUCUAAGUUGGGCCAAAUCACUUGGCUCUAUUACCACCUAUGGUUUAAUGCAGCAAGAAUAAAGGGGCAGUUGAUCCUACUUAAUUAAGUACUAAGAUACCCCGACCCAUGCAUUAGUCGCAAGUACCCCAUAUGUCCUAUUUUUAGCAAAGUCAUGCUAAAAUUCACGGAAAAUUUCAGCAUGACCUUUGCUGAAAAUAGGACAUAUGGAGUACCCAAAUUUGCCGGAACGGAAGUUAAUCGACAUUCCGGCAAACUCAAGGGCCUCUCAGGGUACCUGCAAAAUCAUUAUCCCCGCGUAAUGAAGUAGCCAAUGGGUCAUUUCAAAAUAUCACAAGUAGCAUCAUCACAAGUACAACAUCAUCACAAGUACAGCAGCAGUAGCAGUGAAUACAGGCAUAACAGCAGCAGCAACAGGUUUAUUCUUCUUCUUCAUAAACACUAGUUGUCUAAUUGAGCAAUACAGCGACAGUGUGAACAAAUAAAAACACAAACUACACCUACAUAUUUGGGUACCUCUAUGGUAGUAACAUGCCAUGCUCUGCCUAGAGCUACUGCAGCAAUCAUUGUUAUACAUUUCUCUGAAUAGUAUAUAUGGCUUGAAAUGGCAGAACAGGUUACAGUAAUUAGAUGAAUGAAAUGCAUAAGUGUCGAAUCAAAACAAUAUAAAAAAUACCAUGUUCCCUAUGCUGUUUUGAUACACGAUAUGGGUGAAGUGACAUGACACUUCCAAAAACAAGGAUACAACAAUCACUGGUCCCAAAUGAUAAUACAAGGUGGUGUAGAUCUCUAAGGAGCGGCAUUAAAAGGGAAGGGCAUGCGGCAAGAUGCCAUCAAGCUCCCAGCAACAAUGGUCGGGGAGCAUGUCCACAUUAUGCAUGAGAGGAAGGCUUGUAUACAUUAUAAAGUAUGUUUUAAAUAUUUAAACAUCGACAUGAUUCAGAUACUGAGAAAAAUAGAAUGGAAUCAUUGUUAUAGGAUGCAACAGCUAUGACAACUCACUGAAGUAUCAGGGAAAUCUUUACCUAGCAACACAAGUUAAUAGGCUGAUAUUUUCUCCAUAUUUUUAUUGAAAAGGAAGUUCAAACCUCCUGGCAGUCACAAGUGACAGGAGCUGUGCCUACCACUAGGAUGACCACUUUAAUUUUUUUGCUUCUUUUUUUGAGAUAGAAGCACUUUCAGUCUCAGAAACAAAGAUCACACAGCUUUAUAAAAUCAACUUUACAGGAAGUAUUCGUGUAAGGAAACAUUAAUAAGUAUCUAAGUGUUUUUAGUUCAUUUUAUACAAAAGACAAACAACAACCCUUUUCUUUUGCAUCGGAAGAAAAUUCUAGUACUAUGUGAUAAGCUUUAGAAAAUGGAGUACUUACAGCAACUAUGCAGGCAAUCAAUCCAGGCUUCUCCCGGUGAUCCAAAGAAACAAAGAAUAGAAGAAAAGCACCAAUAUACCAGAGAAUUGCAGCCAAGAAGAACCCUAGUAAGAACCUUCAAAACAAAACCAACCUAAAGUCUUUAAUAUGGAUUGAUUGUGCUUUCAUUUUAAAUUUGCAGGUAAGAACAAUGAACUUAUAGAAACUCCUUAAUAUGAAUAUUAUACCGAUGAUAAAAGAUGUCAGAUUACUAGUAGAUAGCAAAGCAGUAGACAACACACUCAGAAGUAACCAUGCCAGUUUAGGAUAAUCCUCUGCUGAUGCAUCAACUUAUAUCCUAAUCCAAUUCCAGUACCAUUUGAUCGCACCAUAUAUUAUAAAUAUGGCCAUGGGCCCUUACCAACCUGACCAAUACGAGUACUAGCACCUCACAAAUUCUCACUAGCAAGCAUAUCUUCCAAAUGCUGCUCGCCGAACUUGUUAAUGAAACAGUUACUCAUGCAAUCCCCCAUUCACAUACCAAGUACUCAUACAGUCGUACUGAACCAAGUGCUCAUGUUGUUACCUUCUUCAAGAGCUUCCUAAUUUUGCCACACCGAUCACAUUGGAGACAAACACCACCAAAAUGAAGGACACUUACAAAGCCCAGCCAACGCCGACGCCAUAGAACGGCAGUCGCGGCUCCCGGACUGGGAGGCCCUCCACCAAGACCUGCUGUUGGAUAGUGCACGGGAAAGCAACAACGCCCUGAGCAGGAAAGUGCUGCUGGAUAGUGCAGAGGCAGGGAAGUGUUAGUACCUGUAGAGAAACCUAGGGGGAAGGAGGGGAGGAGAGAGGAGGAAUCACCUAGAGGAGAACGGCAGGCAGCUGUAGGAGGACGCUGGCGUCGAGGAGGCUGCGGGCGGUGGCGCGUCGAGGAGGCGGCACGUUCUUGCUUCCCCAAGGACCGAGACGGCGAGGCGGGCCGGUGGCAGCGUUGGAACCCUAGCGUUGUUCGGUCGGAGCACCUCGUCGGAGAGGGCGCGACGGUCAUCAGAGCGAGCGAGAGGGUCGUCAGAGCGGGUGUGGAGCGGGCGCAGGGAUCAUCGGAGCGGGUGUGGCGAGGGAGGGAAGGGGGAUCUGGCGAGGGAGGGACGAAGGGGGAUCGGGCGAAGGGGGGAUUAGCUAGAGGGGGGAAGGUUAGUAAUGGCGCACCCCCUAGCGGUGCGCCAUUAGUAAUCUUUUUUUGGAUAGCGAUGUCGCACCUCCUGGCAGUGCACCAUUAGUAAUCUUUUUUUGGAUAGNNNNNNNNNNNNNNNNNNNNNNNNNNNNNNNNNNNNNNNNNNNNNNNNNNNNNNNNNNNNNNNNNNNNNNNNNNNNNNNNNNNNNNNNNNNNNNNNNNNNNNNNNNNNNNNNNNNNNNNNNNNNNNNNNNNNNNNNNNNNNNNNNNNNNNNNNNNNNNNNNNNNNNNNNNNNNNNNNNNNNNNNNNNNNNNNNNNNNNNNNNNNNNNNNNNNNNNNNNNNNNNNNNNNNNNNNNNNNNNNNNNNNNNNNNNNNNNNNNNNNNNNNNNNNNNNNNNNNNNNNNNNNNNNNNNNNNNNNNNNNNNNNNNNNNNNNNNNNNNNNNNNNNNNNNNNNNNNNNNNNNNNNNNNNNNNNNNNNNNNNNNNNNNNNNNNNNNNNNNNNNNNNNNNNNNNNNNNNNNNNNNNNNNNNNNNNNNNNNNNNNNNNNNNNNNNNNNNNNNNNNNNNNNNGCGGUGGAGCGGGGAAGGGUGCGGGGGGUCGGCAGCGGCGGUGGAGCGGGGGAGGGUGCGGGGGGUCGGCGGCGGCGAGGAGGAUCUGAUGAGGGGGGGUAGCGAUCGAGAUGGAGGGGGAUCUGGCACGGGGGGUGCGCCAUAAGUAACUUUUUUAUUAUUACUUUUAGUUGCGUCUAAUAUUUUUUUAGAAAAUGACGAUCAAAUUUGAAAAAAAUUAUGAAUGUGAAAAAAUAUGAUCAAAUUUGUUAUUUGAAAAUAUUUAUGAAUAUAAAAAAAUAUCAUCAAAUUUGUUAUUUGAAAAAAUCAUCAAAUUUGUUAUUUAAAAAUAUCAUCAAUAUUUUUUUUGGAUUUUUAGUUGCAUUCAUUUGUGAAUUGGUAAAACAUUUAUGAAUAUGAAAAAAUAUCAUCAAAUUUGAAAAAAUAUUCAUGAAUUCAAAAAGUGCCCAUGAAAUUUAAAAAUAUUCAUGAGUUCAAAAAAUAUUAACAAAUUCAAUACUUUUUGUGAGUUAGAAAUUCAAUACCAUAAUAAACAUAAAUAAAUAUUCAUGAGGACACUAGAACGGAAGAAAUAUCAUUUCAAUAUCUCGAAAUACAAUCGAGAAAUGAAGGCUACAAUUUACAUACAAUCGAUCUUAGCUAGCUAUAUGUUCACAAUCUACUUUCCCUUAUUUUUCGCAAAUGGAGUUCUUCUCUUGAACGGACGCCCUUUAGGUAAGGUGGUCCUGCUUCUUCUUGUGGUGUAUGCUGGUACUUCAUCAUCGUCGUCAUGUUCCAUCUUCGGGUGGCCGUACUUGUCGAAGUCUUGCUCAUUGGCGACUCCAUCCAUUUCGAUGAUCUUCCUUUUGCCUCUCCUCACGACGACACGACUGGGCUUUGACGGGUAGGUAAUGAAGAAGCAUUGGUCCACUUGGGAAGCUAGUACCCGUGGCUCAUUUUUCGCGGUGACGUUUGCGCCCGCGGUCUUGGAUUUGGCUUCGGGUAUAACCAUGGUGGUGAAAUACCGAUCUUCUUUUAGGAAGCUCUUGGCCCAUCUGACAGGGAACAUCAGGACCUUCUCUCCAGCGUAGCUCAGCUCCCAGAUCUCCUCGAUCCUUCCGUAGUAUCUGUCCUUGUCGUUACCGGUGUAGGAUUCCAUUGUUACCCCGGAGUUCUGAUAACCAUCGCUCUUCAUGUCCUUUCCCUCGGUGUAGAAUGUGUAGCCAUUGAUAUCGUACGCCUCAUACGUCAUCAGAUUGUGCUCGGCGCCCUAUGACAAGGUGAAUAUGAGUUGUUCUUCCGCGGAAGAAUCCUCAUGUAAAGGGUACGACAGAAGCUUCUGCUUGAACCAACGCGUGAAACAUGAGUUGUGCUCUUUGAUUAUAUCUCCGUUCAUCCUCUGUUGGCCUCAGUCAUUGUACGUCUUCUCAAUAAAGGUUUUGUGCUCUACCACCCAAGGAUCGACCAUGUCUAUGUGUUGUAGCGCGACUAGGUUUGCUCUUUCAAAGUCGGCGAGUCGACCCUCGAAGUCGAGAUGCAUUUCACGGCGACCAUCACGGUGACCCCAUCCAGCGAGCCUGCUGAGGUGCCUGUUGAUGGGAAGACCAACGGUGUUCUCGAUGCCUAGAUAAUUCGUGCAGUAGGAGAUGCACUCUUCGGUCAGAAAGCCCCUGGCCAUGCUUCCCUCUGGACGUGACAUGUUGCGAACGUAUCCUUUGAUGACACCAUUCAUCCUUUCGAACAACAUCAUGCUGUGCAGGAACGUCGGCCCGAGUUGGAUGAUAUCCUCCAUGAUAUGGACCAGCAGAUGCACCAUAACGUCGAAGAAUGCGGGCGGGAAGUACAUCUCAAGCUCGCAUAGUAUCACCAUGAUCUCUUCAUGUAGCCUUCUGAGUUGCCUCACGCCAACCGACUACUGAGAGAUGACGUCGAAAAAGUUGCAUAGGACAAAUAGCGUUUCACGGACGUGCGCGUCCAUGAUCCCACGGAUUGCAACUGGAAGUAUCUGCAUCAUCAGCACGUUACAGUCGUGAGACUUCAUCCUGCUGAACUUCUACUUCGCUGAGUCUAGGUAUCUGCUUAUCUUCCCCGCGUAACCGUAAGGAAGUUUUACUCCUACGAGGCAGGUGAAAAACUGAUUGAUCUCCUCCUGACUUAGAGUGAAGCAUGCGGGAGGGAAGUCAUUUCCGGUCUUCUUGGCCUUUUUGCCUUUGCGACGACUUUCCGUGUCCUGCUUCGCCUCAUCAUCAUCAUCAUUAGCGUGAAGCUCCUCCCUGAUGCCCAUUGAUUUCAAGUCUGCCCUUGCUUUCGGCCCAUCUUUGGUCCUCUCUGGCAUGAGCAGGGUACCAAGCAGACUCUUACACACGUUCUUCGUGAUAUGCAUGACAUCAAGGCUGUGAGGCACACGGUGGAUCUUCCAGUACAGCAAGUCCCAGAAAACAGACCUCGUUUUCCAUACCUUCAGCAGCGGCUCUGGUGCCUUUCGCUUCUUUCCCAGCUCUGGCGCCUUUUGCUUCUUUCCCAGCAGUGGGCAAUCUUUCCAAUUUUUCAAUAGCUCGUCUAUUUCCUUGCCACUCCUCGUACGCGGGCGUCUUCGGGGUUCGGUUUCACCAUCGAACAUAUCCUUGCGUUUCCUCCAUGAGUCAUCAUCGCAAAGCCACCUUCGAUGUCCCAUGAACACGGUUUUUGAAGACCCGGGAUUUCUAUCUAGCUGGCGAUACGUUGUGUCAUCCAUGCACCUGACGCAUCCAGAAAAUCCGUGGACCACCUUCCCCGCGACAUAUCCGUAACCGAGAUAGUCCUGCACCGUCGUGAGCAGUGCGACUCUCAUAGGGAAAUAUUCUUUCUCUGCGGCGUCCCACAUAUUGGCUGGCGUUUUCCAUAGCGUGUCUAGCUCCUCUUUCAGCAGCCCCAUAUACAGAUUGAUGCCAUUCCCUGGUUGUUUCGGCCCUUCAAUUAGCAUACUCAUGUGAAUGUACUUCCUCUUCAUGCACAACCAGGGGGGAAGGUUGUAUAUCCACACAAACACAGGCCAGGUGCUAUGUGUGCUUCUCUGGCUGCCAAACGGAUUGACUCCAUCGGUGAUCGCGCCCAGUAUGAUGUUCCUUGGAUCGUUCCCAAAUUCUGGGUGUUCGAAGUUCAACGCUUGCCGCUGGCUCGCAUCCUUAGGGUGACUCAGCAUCUUGUCUUUUUUAUUUAUCUCUGGAUCAUUUGCGUCAUCUUCUCACUUCUUCUCCUCCCUAUCCGCGUGCCAACGCAGGAGCUUUGCUACCUUAGGGUCCGCGAAAUACCGCUGCAGACGAGGAGUGAUCGGAAAGUACCACACCACUUUUCAAGGAGCUUUCUUCCUCUUCUUGUAUCGAGUGACGCCGCACACCGGUCAUAUGGUAGACUCUGCGUGCUCAUCCCGAUAAAUGAUGCAAUUGUUCAUGCACACAUGGUAUUUCACGUGUGGUAAAUCCAGAGGACACACGAUUUUCUUCGCCUCCUCGAAACUGGUCGGGCACUUGUUCCCCUUGGGAAGACGUUCGUGCCAGAAUGACAUGUUCUCGUUGAAGCAUGCGUCGGUCAUUUUGUGUUUUACCUUCAUCUCCAGAGCCAUGAGCAUUACUUUCAGGCAGGUAUCCUCGGGCCUGCAUCCUUCAUCCAAUGGAGUAACCACGUCUAUCUCCAGUUGAUCCAUCUUGGCUUUCUCUCGGGCGGCAGCUCUUGCGUUAUCGGUCUACUUGAGAAGCAGCUCUUGAAUAUGAGGGUCCUGCACCCAGCCCAUCGAUGGGCCAUCGUCGUCUGCUCCGACAUCUUCAUCUUCAUGAUCAUGCCCUUUGUCUACUCUAGCAUCUUCCUCAUCAUCAUGUACGGCAUCUUCUACAUGAUGACUGUGUACUGCAUCUACUUCAUGAUCAUGUCCUGGAGAUUCUUCGUCUUCUCGCCCGCCCUCGUCGCAGUUGUCUUGCUGCCCUUCCUCAUUUCUUGCCCGGCCCCCAUGGACGACUUCAUAAUCAUCUUCAUCACCUUGCCACCGAUAGCCAUCCAUGAAACCACGCAAGAGCAGGUGGUCCCACACCUGUACAGAAUCCGGGUCCAUAAGGCUCCUUAGCUUGCAUCUUCGACACGGACAUCUUAUCUCCGUCUCGUUCUUUUGAAGCAUCUCGGUCUUCGUGGAGCUCAAAAACCUAUUCACGAUGCCUUCGGUCAUCGUGUGGACCAUGGUCGCCUGCGGGGUAGAGCAAAACGAUAUUUUAGAACCAAGAAAUUUUUUGGCAUGACUUUGCCUAAAAAUAGGACCAAAAAGAAUGCAUAGUGCCAAAUUCUCGCCGAAACGGAAAUGAACAUUCCGGCAAAAUAUUGGCAACUAUCGCAUUUCAAAUACUGGUACCUGCAAACACAAACAUAUAUGCAACACCACAAAUAUAUGCAACACCACAAAUAUAUGCAACACCACAAACAUACAUAGAUCUAGCUAGGCCAUAAAAAGUGCAUGUGCACGUUGUUGGAGGGAGGAAAAAAAGUAGAUCUACAACAUAAAGAAAGCUUUCCCCUUACUUACCUAUCAAAAAAAGGUAAUUUAACCACUUAAUUUGGAUGAAUCUAUGGUGCAAAUGAGGUGAGGAGGAGGAGGCAGCCGAGACAAGCUUGGAGGAGGUGGUGGAGAGAAUGAAGUGGGGAAAGUGAGUGUGUAGGUGGCUGUCCAAAAUAUCUACCUGGUCCCAGGUUACUAAUGGUGCACCACCUACAAAUGCACCAUUAGUAACCCUGGUUACUAAUGGCGCACUAGCUGAUGGUGCGCCAUUAGUAGUUUUGCAAAAAAAAUGAUAGUAGUGGCGCACGGGGUGAGUGGUGCGCCAUUACUAGUUAAAACUAGUAAUGGCGCACUGUGCCCUGGUGCGCCAUUAGUAUUUUUGGAAAAUAAUAAUAAUAAAUUGUUAGUAGUGGCGCACCGUGGGUGUGGUGCGCCAUUAGUGUCCAUCACAUUAAUGGCGCACCAACACAUGGUGCGCCACUGCUAUAUAGUAGUGGCGCACCACAUGACUGGUGCGCCAUUAGUGUCCAUAUUAUCUAUAGCCCUUUUCCUAGUAGUGAGUAUUCAACCCAAUUUAUUGAUUUGACACAAGGGAAUCCAAAGAAUAUUUGCAAGUAUUAGCAGACGAGUUGUCAAUUCAACCACAUCCAAAGAUUUAUUAUCUGCAACAAUAUGAUCAGUAGCAAAGCAAUAUGAUAGUUUUGAUAGUAGUAGCAAUAGCAAUAGUGAUGAUAACAAUGAUAGCGAUUUUGUAGCAAGUAUAACGGUAACAACAACAGUAGUAACUUAGCAAGAACAAUAUAAGAGAAAUUUGUAGGCAUUGGAUCAGUGAAUUCGUUGGAUGAUAUUCAUCAUAUAACAGUCAUAACCUAGGGUGAUACGACAGUAGCUCCCGUUCAUAAAUAUAAUGUAGGCAUGUAUUUCGUAAAUUGUCAUACAUGCUUACGGAAAGAACUUGCAUGACAUCAUUUGUCCUACCCUCACGUGGCAGCGGGGUCCUAUUGGAAACUAAGGGAUAUUAAGGCCUCCUUUUAGUAGAGAAUUGGAACAAAGCAUUAAUACAUAGUUAAUACAUGAACUCCUCAAACUACGGUCAUCACCGGAAAGUAUCCCGACUACUGUCACUCUGGGGUUUACGGAUCAACACGUAAUAGGUGAAUAUAACUUGCAAGAUCGGAUCUAGAACAUAGAUAUAAUGGUGAUAACAUAAACAAUUCAGAUCUGAAAUCAUGACACCCGGGCCCAAAGUGACCAGCAUUAAGUAUGGCAAAGUCAUGUCAACAUCAAUCUCAGAACAUAGUGGAUACUAGGGAUCAAGCCUUAACAAAACUAACUCGAUUACAUGAUGGAUCUCAUCCAACUCCUCACCGACCAGCGAGUCUACGAAGGAAUUACUCACUCCCGGUGGGGAGCAUCAUGGAAUUGGCGAUGGAGAAGGGUUGGUGAUGACGAAGAUCGCAAGAUCCCCCUCUCCAGAGCCCCAAAUGGACUCCAGAUCUGGCCUGCUGAUGAAGAAUAGGAGGUGGCGGCGGCUCCGUCUUGUGAAACGCUAUAAUACUUUCUCCCAGAUUUUUUUCUCUGAAAAUAUGAUUUUAUAGUAUCAGGGUUGAGGUCUGCAGGGCCACCAGGUGGGGAAAACCCACCUGGGCGCGCCAGGAGGAGGGGCACUGGUGGGUUGUGCUCACCCUAGGGCCCCCCUCCGGUGGUUCUUGGCUCCAGUAUUUUUAUAUAUUCUGAAAUAAUUCUUCAAAAAGUUUCAUUCCAAUCUAAGAUUUUUUAUUUCUGCACAAAAACAACACCAUGGUAAUUCUAUUGAAAACAAUGUCAGUCCGGGUUAGUUUCAUUCAAAUCAUGCAAAUUAGAGUCCAAAACAAGAGUAAAAUUGUUAGAAAAAGUAGAUACGAUGGAGAUGUAUCAGACCGCCUUUCUUGAUUGCGUUGGCUGAAUGAAGACUAGUUGAUUGCUCCCCCAUACUCCAUAAUGGGUGAGCCACUCUUCGGCACAUCUUCAUAACUCCAUUGUCACCAUAAUGGAUGGCAAGAAACAAGCAUGAGAUCUCUUCGUGAUGCUCCACUUGAACUUGCACACCGCAAUCUUGAUGAUGAUCACCACUUGAUGUCAUCCUCCAUGGGUUAUAUAAUAUCUUCCUUUUGAUGCACGACCAUGGAAACAUACCGAAGCCCACAAACAACUCGUAGACCAUGGGUUAGUACACAAAAACUAAUGGACAAUGCUAAUUAUACCAUGGGAUCACUUGAUCCCUCUCGGUACAUGUUGUAUGCUUUGUGUGUUGAUCAACUUGAUUCACUCUUUGACUUGGUCUUGAUCAACCUUGUAUCAUGUCUUCUACAUGACCAAUCUUUGGAUAAUUCCUUGAAUAGCACAUUGAUCAUCACAUAAACUCCUUGAAACGAACACAUGGACUUUAAGAAAUGCUUAUGGGCAAAUCCUUCAAAUAUAGCUCAAGGCAACCAUUAGUCCAUAGAGAAUGUCAUCAAUUACCAAAACCACACAUGGGGGCACCAUGCUCUUUCAAUGUUGAUUUCAAGAUGACACCAAAUACACCUAGUCUUCGCAACAACACAAUUCAAGAGCUACCUACUGUGAGGAUGCAUGCACCAAUAUUCUUUUUUAAAACAAGAUAUAACCUCACCAAAGCAGUCAAUGAACAAGAAAACAUCAACAUCAAUCACCAACAUUGGCAACCCCUGAGAAACAUUCUCCAGCAAUGAUGUCUCUAGGAAGGGAAGGAGCAGUGCACAAUUACCGUCACAGUACAAGUAAUGAAGCUACACGUUAAGUUUAUUGCCAUCAUAAUACACACUUCAGCUUUUUGGUGAACUAUCCAUGCAAAGCACCAUCUCAUUCGCCAAAAGCUCCAGCUGAAAGAGAGGGCAAAUCAUUAUACUCUAACAAUCUUCUUCUAUCUAUGCUCCAUUGAAAUUACAGUGUGGGUAUUGGAAGCUAUGUUUUGCGAUUCGAAAGCAAAAUAAUAAUAAUCUAGACCUUAUAGAAAAAUAAGCAGUAAUUGCAAAAUGUUGAUACGGAGGACUAAAUCCCAGAUAGAGAUGUUUGAAAAUUUCAAGUCCCAGUCCCAUUUUUGUCAAGUAGUAACCGCAACACCUUCUAUGCUUUACUUCCUACCUACCACCUCACCGAAAGAAUCAAUUUCUGUCAUUUUACUAAGAAACACAAAACUGUGAAUAUAAUAGGGAGGGCUACACUUAUUUGUCUAGUUAUUUCUUUAUUGUAAACUAUAUGCAUCCAACCAAUUCACGCAUUAGUUCAAUGAUUUUAUCUCAAGUAAACCAUAAUGAUGAAAUAUGUCAUAGUUGAACUAUUAGGUUUUGUGACAAAUGGCAUAACGGACUUCCUUUGGAAAUCCUUUCUCUCAACUAAGCAAGUUUAUGGGGCUUCUACGCGAGGUACAACUCCCACAAACAAACUAGGUUACAAUGUGUUCAACCGCCUUUCUAGAAACCAUUGAAGCACCAAAUACAAGAUUAUAUGUUCACUAGGGAGAUACUGCAUUCAGUUCGUCAGGGUUUGUAUAGCAUUCCUAGGUGAAUGGUUUGACUCAUACCUGACAUGCACCGCGUAUUGAAACCUUGAGACAUAAUGUCGAAAAACACAAAUUGAUAGCUAACUAUAUUAGAUCUAGAAACAUCGACCCUCAUUUUUUUAAUCAUAAAGUGAUUUUACAAACCCCCGACAUGUUGUGUUUGGCGUGUACACGUAAUAGAUUAAUGGGCCUAGCAAAAAAACAAGACAAAUGCUAGGGAUGUAUGCCUCUGUUUUUUUAUUUACCCCGCAUAUUAGUUUAACUGAAGUCAAAUGUUAUAAAGUUUGACCAAGUUUGUAGGAAACAAUAGGAACAUUUAACAUAAAAAACCUAUGUCCUGUGAAAAUAUAUUCAAUGAUGAAUCUAAUGGUAUUGAUUUGUGGUGUAUAUGUUACUAUAUUUUUGUACCACUGUCGGUGUUAAAACCGGCGGAUCUCGGGUAGGGGGUCCCGAACUGUGCGUCUAGGCGGAUGGUAACAGGAGACGAGGGACACGAUGUUUUACCCAGGUUCGGGCCCUCUUGAUGGAGGUAAAACACUACGUCCUGCUUGAUUAAUAUUGAUGAUGUGUGCUACAAGAGUAGAUCUACCACGAGAUCAAGGAGGCUAAACCCUAGAAGCUAGCCUAUGGUAUGAUUGUUGUUCGUCCUACGGACUAAAGCCAUCCGGUUUAUAUAGACACCGGAGAGGGUGUUACACAGAGUCGGUUACAAUGGUAGGAGAUCUACAUAUCCGUAUCGCCAAGCUUGCCUUCCACGCCAAGAAAAGUCUCAUCCGGACACGGGACGAAGUCUUCAAUCUUGUAUCUUCAUAGUCUUGGAGUCCGGCCGAUGAUGAUAGUUCGGCUAUCCGGACACCCCCUAGUCCAGGACUCCCUCAGUAGCCCCUGAACCAGGCUUCAAUGACGAUGAGUCCGGCGCGCAUAUUGGCUUCGGCAUUGCAAGGCGGGUUCCUCCUCCGAAUAAUUUAUAGAAGAUUGUGAACACCAGGAUAGUGUCCGGCUCUGCAAAAAUAAUUUGCACAUACCACCAUAGAGAGAAUAAUAUUUCCACAAGUUCAAUCUGCUGACGUAUUUGAUGGCAUGACGUCACACCGCUACCAAGCCUUUACUUAAAUCGUUUUUAUUGUACCACCUCAGCGCGUUUAGCGAAGCGGUUUCCUUGGCACGUCUUGUCGAAGCAGAGAUCAUGUUCCCCUUAUUCCGGGAUUCCCAUCAAUACGGACGUGGGUAACCCAACCGCGCCAUUGAUUGCGGCGCUUGGGGGAUAAGCGAGUUUUAUCAGGCCGGUGGGGACGCAUGUUUUCGUCCGCCCAUAUAAGGGGAUAAAGAUCCAACCCUAUUACCUGCGCCUUCUUCCUCCUUGGCUUACCCAUCUCUGCGAACCCGAGCUCCAGCGCCCAAGCGCGCACAUCUCACCUCAACCUUCUCCAACUAUGUCCGGAGCAGGAGGCAAGUGGAUGGCCUCCUCCAUCACGGAGGGGCAGAUCUAGAAGCUGCGCAACGCCGGAUACUUGUCCAGCGACAUCGCGCACCGGCUCCCCAAUGAGGGAGAGCUCAUCCCCACCCCCAAGCCCCAUGAGAGGGUAGUAUUCCUUCCCCAUUUCCUCCGCGGACUGGGCUUCCCACUCCAUCCCUUUGUCUGGGGGCUCAUGUUCUACUACGGCCUGGAUUUCCAUGAUUUGGCCCCGAAUUUCAUCCUCAACAUCUCGGUGUUUAUCGUUGUGUGUGAGGCCUUCCUCUGCAUCCAGCCCCACUUCGGCUUGUGGCUCAAGACCUUCAGUGUCAAGCCGAAGGUUGUGAAGGGCAGCCAAGCGGAGUGCGGAGGCGCCAUGGUGGGCAGGAUGUCCCAUGUUACUUAGCUCGAGGGAACUUUCGUGGAAACCAUCAAGGGGUGGCAAUCGGGGUGGUUCUACAUCACCGAGCCGCGUGAUCCCGAAUGGGCAGCGGUCCCCGAAUUCAGAUCCGGCAUCCCCACACGGCUCACCUCCUGGAAAGAGAGCGGCCGGACAUGGGGUGAUUCGGAGGAGCUGACAGGACUCCAAGCUUGUAUCCAAAAGCUAGUGGACAAGAAGCUCAAGCUUGUCAACGUAGUCCAGGUCAUGCUCAUCUGCCAGAUUCUCCCGUGCCAACGACGGGGCUUCAACAUGUGGGAGUUCGAUCCGGCACAGCACCAGACUUUGAAUGGGCUCUUCGACACUACAUACGAAGAUGUCUCGAAGGUGCUAUUCAAGGGCGCCGAAGCUCCCGCAUCCGCUACCGAAGAUCGCGGAUUCAGCUCAGAGCGUCCAGCUGAUGAGGUAAGUUAUUUUGUCCUUUAAGGGACGCUUGUUUUCCAUAGUUUGACUCUAUGCGGGAUCUAAACUCCCUUUCCUUUGACAGGACUAGAUGAAGAAGGCCGAACAGGCUAUCUGUCCGGCCCCAUUGCCAGAGGACCCAGCGGAUGCCCGUUUGACGGGGCUGCUAGCUUCGGCACCCCAUGUGGUGCCGGAGAAGAAGGCCAAGAAGAAGGUCACAGGGACUCGGAAGAGUUCCCGCUUUCAGGUGCUAUCGGAUGACGACUCCGAGGCCGACUCCUCUCACCAAGGUGAGGAGGAGAAGAAGAAAGCCUCUUCCCCAGCGGGGGGAGAGAAGAAAAAGAAGGCCUCCCCAACGAGGGAGGCCGAGGGGUCCAAGAAGGGAAAAACUCUUCCCCCGGACUGCUCUGCCAAUGCCAGUGAUGACGACGAGGACUGGCCUCCAAGGGCCAAGCCCUAGGCGAGAUCGUGAGUAUCCGGACUCCCGAAUAACUUCAUGGUUUAUCUUUUUUGCCACACAAUGUCUUUCUAAUGCCGCAUACAACCCUGCAGUCCGCCCAAGGACGAUCUUCCCGCUUCGUCGAGCGGGUCCUUAGGUGCGUCGGAUAUGGAUUCUCUUCCGACCGCCUCCACCCCCCGUGACACGGACGAUGCCAAGGUGGGAUCCCGGGAAGGGACCCGCCAGGAGGAGGAGGCCCCGGAGGUGUCGCAGGACAACCUCCCGGACUUUGCACCGGACUCGGCUCCGGAUCCCAUAGUGGCUCCGGAGUUCGGCGGGCGGCCCCUUCGUAAGAAGGGCAAGACCGUGACACCGGCAGCCUCCGUCCAACCGAAGGCGCCGGAUAGCUUGCUGGAGGCGCUCAAUGGCGCCUCCAUCAAAGAGGAACACCGCACUGUUAUGAGUGCGGUGAUUUAGAAGGUGCAGCUCGCCAAGAGCGGGCUGACCGAAGCCUGCAACAGCCUUCUAACAGGCUUUGAGGUAAGAAUUUUGAUAUAUGUAAAAUAGUACCGCAUAGACAGUAGCCCCUGAUGCUCGGUUCGGUGUUCGGAAAGAAAAGCCGGACUGAGGAUCUAAGAAGAUAUACGCAGGAGUCAUAAAAAAUAUGUCGAUAUGGGAUUGCAGGCUGCGCUGCUGACCUCUGCCGCACUGACUGCGGAGGUCAAUACUUUGAAGGAAGGCCUCGAGAGGUCCGAGAAUGAGCUCGGCCGUGCCAAGAAGCAGCUCGAGGACAAGGAAGGUGAGUAACACCUUAUUAAAAUUGUACCUUACAGAAAAGGAUUUUGGUUGCAAAAUGAAGGACAAGGAUAACAUGGGUAUUGCAGGGGCCACUAACGAGGUGGCGACCCUGAAAGAGGCGGUGGCUGCGACCGAACACAAUGCGGCCGCGGAGCGCACCGAGCGAGAGAAGCGGGAGGCACGGGUGGCGGAGGUACAGCAAGAGCUCCAGGAUCUCGUGAAAAAACAUGAGAGCCUGGAGCGUGACUCGACGACUCGAGAGUCUGAGCUUGCAACGGCUCUUAAGAGUGCCAAAGCCGCUAAGGCCGAAGCCUACAAGGCCCUCCAGGAAAUCGAGGCGUUGAAGAAAAUAGCAGCGGGUAAGGCAUUUUUCAUGCAAAGUAAGCAUGUGAGUGUUAAUUACCUGUUGCUUACCCGAAUUCGGAGCUCUCCAGGAGCGUUCGCAGAUCUUCCUCGCAGCGUGUCCGAUGCUGCCGCGUUCUACCGGGCCGAGGAGGGGAGCUCGACGGAGAAGGUCUUCUGGUCUCAGUAUGCUGAGGCCGGACAUCCGGUGCCCCUUAGCGACCAGCUAAAGCAGCUGGUCGAGCUCUACAAGGUGGCCGAACAGGCCAUGAAGGGCCUCAUAGUUCGGCUGUGGCCUAAGGAGGCCAUGCCUGGGAGCUACUUCGGCCUGGUGCGGCGGCUGGUGGAUGCGUGCCCGUGGGUCGAAGUCAUCAAGCACUCCGUCUGUAUUGAAGGUGCCCGUCGGGCCCUUGCCCGCUCAAAGGUGCACUGGGGCAAGAUGGAUGCCUAGAAGCUCGUGACGGACCCACCACCGGAGCGCAAGGAGCAUCGCACGCCCGAGAUGUAUUAUAAGAGUGUGCUGAAGGGCGCCCGCACUAUUGCGGGUGAGUGCUCCAAAGAUGUAAUAUUUGAGUAGACUCGCAUUUUGUUAUCCUGUGCGCUGAAAACUUAGUUCAUUUGCGCUAAGCAACGUGUUUUGAUUUAAAAUAUUACCUUCUGUGCGGCUGUUUAUCAAAUCUGAGAGAUGGCAAGUCGUCGGCUUCAGCCCCCAUGCCACGAGUGCUGGGGUGUUCGGGAUAAACUUGAGCACUCUUGUUCCCAUAUUUGGGUCCAUCUAGGGAGGCGCUCAACACAACGAACAAGGCAACCGGACUUAUAAUGCUUGAACACUCUCACUUAGCCAUAAAAUUCUAUAAUUUUAAAUUUCGGCGAAGCCCCUAAUCUUCGGAAGGCCGAAUUUGGGGCGCUAUCCAUGCCUUGGCCGGACAAAAACCGGCUCCUCGCUCUAAGCGGCAUAAGUCUUUAGGGACUCACAAAAAACCUCUCGAACAGCGACCAGCUCUCACCUCAUCAUGACGGUCAGUUUUAGCUUUCUCCACUGAGGCGUUAACCCAGCUCAACUGGGGCGCAAUCGCAGUGGUUCUCCCAGUGCUACCUUAGCCGAUACAACGGAACAUAAGGUACCAAAACAUGGGAGCCGGGCAAACCCAACUAUUGACCCAAGACAUGAUUCGGAGCUGAUGCAUAUAUUGCUAUAAGUUCGGGGUGCCGCACUUGUGAAAGUGUUCGGACUUAUCACACCAUGAUGCGGGAAACAUAAGCCCCUGGUGUAUUUAGCCAUACCAGAACGUACGGAUGCGUAAUGUCACAAAUGAACAUAUGUAUAAAAAAGAAAUGCAAUUGCAAGCAAAAAAAGGUGCUGCAUUACUUAUUAAAGAAAAAUUGUUGUAAGUGCAGAACGAUACAAAUGGUGCGAUAAGCAAGGGAUGGGACUGUUAAACAUGUCCCCCUCCAGGGGUAGGCUGCGGAAUGGUGCAUAAAACAGAUUUAAUGCUCGUAAUGGAGACCACCUGGAUAGUCGUUGUAGCCUUUCUUCUUCCCUAGCUAUUGCAUCGUGAGUUCGGCAGGUCUACUACCGGACAGGGCCUCUGACGAACGGAGUCCUGUGGGUAAAAAUAAAAAAAAGGAAAAAGAAAAAAAAGAACGACACACUUGAGAGCCCCUGGUGUGGUUGAGCCGCAGUCUGGGCCUAUCGUGGUCGUGCCCCUCUCCCCAUGCCCAUGGUAUCUUCAGAGCGUAAUGGUGUACGCGAAGGACCUGUCUUGAUGUUUUACAGGGGCUGGGGUUGGGGCCGCACUGCUACGCAUGCUCGACACGUGCCAGGUGGUCUUGUUGUAAGUUACUCCGGGCGCGCUUAGCUGUGUACGGCCGCUUAAUGGCCGAACUCGAGAAUUGCCUUAAGAGGCUGCAUUGUACUUCUGCCGCGAGAGCCGUUGUAUGUUCCUCCGUGCGGAGAGAACGUUCAGUGUUUCCGUUGACCGUGAUGACUUCUCGAGGGCCUGGCAUCUUGAGCUUGAGGUAUGCGUAGUGCGGCACCGCGUUGAACUUUGCGAAUGCGGUACGUUCGAGCAGAGCAUGAUAGCCGCUGCGGAACGGAACUAUGUCGAAGAUUAAUUCCUCGCUCCGAAAGUUAUCCGGGGAUCCGAAGACCACUUCUAGUGUAACUGAGCCUGUGUAAUUGGCUUCUACACCUGGUAUGACGCCUUUAAAGGUCAUCUUGGUAGGUUUAAUCCUUGAGGGGUCUAUGCCCAUUUUGCACACUGUGUCCUGAUAAAGCAGGUUCAGGCUGCUGCCGCCGUCCAUCAGGACUCUGGUGAGGUGAAAUUCAUCGACGAUUGGGUCUAGAACCAAUGCGGCGAAUCCGCCAUGGCGGAUGCUGGUGGGGUGGUCCCUCCGGUCAAAAGUGAUCGGGCAGGAGGACCAUGGAUUGAACUUCGGGGCAACUGGCUCCAUCGCAUAUACAUCCCUGAGUGCACGCUUCCGCUCCCUUUUGGGUAUGUGCGUUGUGUAUAUCAUGUUCAUCGUCCGCACCUGUGGGGGGAAACCCUUCUGUCCUCUAUUGUUCGGCGGCCGGGUCUCUUCCUCGUCAUCGUUGUGCAGCCCCUUGUCAUUGUUUUCGGCAAUUAACUUGCCUGCCUAUUUGAAUACCCAACAGUCCCUGUUGGUGUGGUUGGCUGGCUUUUCCGAGGUGCCAUGUAUUUGGCACAAGCGGUCGAGUAUUCGGUCCAAAUUGGACGGACCCGGAGUAGUUCUUUUAAAUGGCUUUUUCCGCUGACCGGGUUUAGAGCCUCUGAAUCCGGCAUUGACUGUUGUAUCUUCACUGUUAUCGCCGUUAAUGCGGCGUUUGUUUUUGUUGCGAUGCGACCUGCCACUACGGUCCUUGAAAUCCGGACUGCCAGAAUUUUUGCUGAGGUUAUUGCUGCGUGCUAGCCAGCUGUCCUCACCCGUGCAGAAGCGGGUCAUGAGUGAUGUGAGGGCUGCCAUUGAUUUCGACUUUUCCUGUCCUAGGUGCCGGGCCAGCCACUCGUCGCGGAUGUUGUGCUUGAAGGCUGCUAGGGCCUUUGCAUCCGGACAGUCGACGAUUUGGUUUUUCUUUGUUAGGAACCGUGUCCAGAAUUGUCUGGCCGAUUCGUCUGGCUGCUGAAUUAUGUGGCUUAGAUCGUCGGCGUCUGGUGGUCGCACGUACGUGCCUGGAAGUUAUCGAGGAAUGCGGCUUCCAGGUCUUCCCAACUCCCGAUUGACUCUGCUGGCAAGCUGUUAAGCCAAUGUCGGGCUGGUCCUUUAAAUUCGAGUGGGAGAUAUUUGAUGGCGUGAAGAUCAUCACCGCGGGCCAUGUGGAUAUGGAGGAGAUAGUCUUCGAUCCAAACCGCGGGGUCUGUUGUGCCAUCGUAGGAUUCAAUGUUCACGGGUUUAAACCCUUCAGGGAUUUGAUGAUCCAUUACUUCGUCUAUGAAGCAUAGUGGGUGUGUGGCGCCUCUGUACUGGGCGAUAUCGCGACGAAGCUCAAAAGAGCUUUGUCUAUUUUGUUCGGCCCGGCCGGACUUACUGUGUCCGGCACGACGGUUGUCGCCACGUAUCAUGGGGCGCCCACGCGAUCCAUAGAUCGAUCUUGAUUGUCUUGCCUUACCCUCCAAUAUAUCUCGCAAGUCCGGAGCGUUCCCCUGUGGCUUUGUGCUCUUCGAGCGAUGCCGGGGUACGGUUCUAGUGAAGGGCCUAGAAGCCUCUCUGUCACGACCACGGGGUGGUCGGUCAGCCGUAUUGUCUGCUAGUGAUGUAGGUUCGUAUGCCUCCUCCUCUAAUCGGGGGAGCAGCUUGCGUUUAGGGUAACUUUUGGAGGGGCGUUCGAGCUCAUGCUCUUCGGCCGCGAGGACUUCAGUCCAUCUGUCGGCUAGCAGAUCUUGAUCAACUCUAAGCUGUUGGUGCUUUUUAUUUAGGCUGUUUGCCAUGGCCAUAAGCCUGCAUUUAAAACGCUCUUGUUCGACGGGAUCCUCAGGCACGACGAAUUCGUCGUCGUCGAGGCUUGCCUCGUCUCCGGAGGGAGGCAUGUAGUCCUCUACCUCUUCUUCUGCCGCUCUCUCAUGAGGGCUGGCGUCCCCAUCCUCCCGUGCUGAAUUUUGCUAGAGUGGGUUGUCUUCGGCACUAUCUGGGGUGUUAUUAUCUCUGGUGCCGGAAUCUUCAUUCUUGCUAUGGCAGGAUUAGAGCGGCGCCGCUGACGCCGACGCUUGGGCUGUUUCUUGGAGGGGUCAUCCUCCGCUGCCCCUUCGCCAUUCCCAUCCUUUGGGAUAUCCACCAUGUAUAUAUCAUAUGAUGAGGUGGCUUUCCAGUGCCCGAUAGGCGCUGGUUCUUGGUCAUCUCCGGCAUCGUCGUCCAUACCGUCGAUGUCUUCGGAGUCGUAGUCUAGCAUGUCGGUUAGGUCAUCAACAGUGGCUACCAAGUGGGUGGUGGGUGGGUUUUGAAUUUCUUCAUCGUCCGCAUCCCAACCGUCCUGGCCGCAGUCCGGCCAGGGCUCUCCUGAUAAUGAGAGAUACUUUAGCAAACUCAGGAUGUCGCCAAAAGGUGAGUGUUGAAAGAUGUCCGAGGCAGUAAACUCCAUGAUCGGCGCCCAACCGGAUUCGAUUGGUGGGGGCGCGGGAGGUUCGUAGUCCGGCAAGGAGUCCGGCGCCUUGGAGUCACGAGCUUCAUGAGGGACAAGGUCAGUGUUCGGCUCUAUCACCAUAGAGGUUGCAGCCCCCGAGGCGGCGUCUAACCAUCCAUCCUCGAUCUGCGCAGCCGGCUCUGAAUUGAAGAUCGGAGCAGGCUCAAGUGCGGCCUCCAGGGUACUGUCCGGUCGCAGAGCUAAAUCAUGCUCGUCGUGACAGUGCGGCACGCUCGGCUGUGGCUCGAAUCCAUCGAGGAUCAAGUCCCCACGGAUGUCAGCCGUGAAGUUCAAACUUCCAAAUCUGACCUGACGGCCAGGGGCGUAACUUUCGAUCUGCUCUAGAUGGCCAAGAGAAUUGUCCCGCAGUGCAAAGCCGCCGAAUACGAAGAUCUGUCUGGGGAGGAAGGUCUCACCCUGGACUGCGUCGUUGAUGAUGAUCGGAGAAGCCAUUGAGCCUAUCGGCGACUGCACAGAGGAACUCUCAAUGAAAGCACCAAUGUCGGUGUCAAAACCGGCGGAUCUCGGGUAGGGGGUCCCGAACUGUGUGUCUAGGCGGAUGGUAACAGGAGACGAGGGACACGAUGUUUUACCAAAGUUUGGGCCCUCUUGAUGGAGGUAAAACCCUACGUCCUGCUUGAUUAAUAUUGAUGAUGUGUGCUACAAGAGUAGAUCUACCACGAGAUCAAGGAGGCUAAACCCUAGAAGCUAGCCUAUGGUAUGAUUGUUGUUCGUCCUACGGACUAAAGCCAUCUGGUUUAUAUAGAUACCGGAGAAGGCUAGGGUUACACAGUGUCAGUUACAAUGGUAGGAGAUCUACAUAUCCGUAUCGCCAAGCUUGCCUUCCACGCUAAGGAAAGUCCCAUCCGGACACGGGACGAAGUCUUCAAUCUUGUAUCUUCAUAGUCUUGGAGUCCGGGCGAUGAUGAUAGUUCGGCUAUCCGGACACCCCCUAGUCCAGGACUCCCUCAACCACCUUGGUGAAAGAAUAUAAAGUUUAAUUUUACACAAAGCUAAUAUUUGAAGUAAAUAAAGAUGAAAUUGGGUGGGGGAGGGGGUGGGUUGACGACAAACCACGACAUUCUAGAGUGUCCUUUAAUUAAUGUUAUCUCGUUAAGUAAUACUUUGCCCCUAAGAUUCGUAGGAUUCCGAAGGCGUGGAUAUGAAAAAGUAGAUACAAGUACAAUGUGAUAUCCAACUGAAUCAUAAAAUAUUUGUGAAUUUUGAACCAAAGUUUGUUUGAUUGUACUCCCUUCGUUUCAUAUCAGUUGUCAAGUGGUUUGAGUCAAUGCAAAUUUCUUAUAUAAUGCAAGCACAAUGCAAAUAACUACCAUCGCAAACAAUUAUAUGAAAAUCCACUGAAUGAAAGAGGCCCAUCAACUUAGAAAUUCCUUGCAAUAUGUACUCAUAUAAGGCCUUCCUCCUAUGCCCUUGCCCAGGCAGGGGGCUGGAGCAGCAGCGGCCCCGUCCGCCCCGCGAUCCUUGGCUUCUCAAGCCGAGUCGGUCAUGCCGUGUCCAACAUGGAUGGUUCAAAGAGGAGUUCUGGGGGACCACGCACAGGAGGGCUAGGGCUUCCUGGCCCAUGCCGCAAGAUACAGUAGACUUCUGUGUACUUCAAGACGUCAGGGGCAUCGGUGGAACAUCAUCGGAAACCACGAAAGCCGCCAGAUCGAGCCAACCUCCCUACCGUGAAGCCUUUGUCCGAGCGCCCGCCCGACGAGAGGGCAUCGCCUGUUCUCGAAGGAAAAGUGCCGCCAGCGCUUGAGGAGAACCUGGUGGUUGGUGGGGGCGAUUAUGGGGCUCCCUCCGAGGAUGCUACCCGCCUGAAGCCUUCCAUCGGGGGAGCCGAAGAUGUUGUGGCGACGAACCCGUGGGUGCAGACGCUCUUCAUAUGCAAAGCCGGUACACCAAACAAGUGUCAGACUAUGGAGUCUCUGGAGGGGCAGCAGACUCGUGUGGAAGGAGAUAUGCAUGACCAGGACAUGCUGGAGAGAACAAACACCAUGGAGGCAGUCGGCCCAGGGGCCGCUGAUGAACUGACGGGGCUCGUGGAGCCUCGUCAAGAGCAAUGAACAUCCUGAGCUGGAACUGCUGAGGAGGUGGGAACCCUCAGACAGUUUGGGAUCUCGUGAGUCUAGUACAGGCUCACUCCCCUAGUAUCGUUUUUCUUUGUGAAACUAGGUAGUCGAAAAAUGAAAUGAAGAGAUAUCGUGCUCGUUUAGGUCUUAGUGGUUUUGAUGCUUCUGAUAGCAUAGGCUUCAGUGGUGGUCUUGCUUUGUAUUGGCACGAGUCAUUGAGUCUGGAUGUAAAAACUAUUAAUGAAAGAUACAUCGAUGCGUACGUGACUGGUAUGGCAGGUGAGCCACCCUGGAGGCUUACUUGCGUCUACGGCGAACCCCGGACGGAGGACCGUCCUCGCAUGUGGUCUUCCCUUCGGGAACUUCAUCAACAAACCAACAUGUCGUGGACGAUGAUUGGUGAUUUUAACGAAGCCAUGUGGAGUUUUGAGCACUUCUCCGAAACACCACGGUCGGCAGGUCAGAUGAUUGCUUUCAUGAUGUUCUUGAAGUUUGCGGCUUGGGCGACCUUGGUUUUGCAGGCCUUCCAUAUACAUAUGAUAAUCGCCGAGGAGGGCGGGCGAACGUCAAGGUCCGCAUCGACAGGGAUGUGGCAAACAAUUCCUGGAGGGAUAUUUUCUCUCACGCCAAGGUGGAGCACCUUGUGGCGCCCAGCUCGGACCAUCUUCCCAUUUUGCUGCAGUGUGUGAUGGAGGAGCCCGUGCACACAGUCGGGAGAAAAUGUCGCCAAUAUGAGGUUAUGUGGGAGAUGGAUCAUACUCUCCCUGAGGUAAUUAUGAAUGCAUGGACUGAGUUGGGUUCAAUGCUUAAUCUCGGUGAUAUAGCUACUGGUUUGGGUAAUAUGAUGAAUAAGUUGCAGCAGUGGAGUCGUAAGAAGUUUGGUAAUGUAAUCAAGGAAAUUAAUAAAUCUCGCUCUCGUUUAGAGGAACUUAUGUCUAUGAAUGCAGACAGGAAGGAGAUUAGAGCGGCAAUAGACCGGAUGAACGAGCUCCUGUACAGGGAAGAAAUGCUUUGGAUGCAAAGAUCGUGUAUUGCUUGGCUGCGGGAAGGUGACCGGAAUACCCAGUUCUUUCAUCGAAAAGCGGUAUGGCGUGCACGGAAAAAUCGUAUAGAACUUCUUGUCGAUGAGGCAGGAGUGACCCACAAGGACCAUGCUUCUAUGGCGGCUAUGGCUACUGCAUAUUUUUCGAGUUUAUUUGCUGCUGAUACUACCCUGGCUCCAGAACCUGUUAUCGAUCUCAUUAAUACCCGUGUUACUGACCGCAUGAAUGAUGGCCUAUGCGCAGAUUUUUCAGACAAGGAGAUAGCCGAUGCACUGUUCCAGAUUGGGCCUCUGAAAGCCCAGGGACCGGAUGGAUUCCCCGCUUGUUUCUUCCAGCGGAAUUGGGCGGUCAUGAGGGAACAAGUUAUUGCUGGGGUAAAGGAAUUUUUUCGCACAGGUAUCAUGCCCGCGGGAGUGAACAACACAUCCAUUGUUCUUAUACCAAAGGUGGAUAACCCGGAGAGGUUAACAGAGUUCCGCCCCAUCAGCCUGUGCAACGUUAUUUAUAAGGUGGUGGCAAAAUGUCUGGUAAACCGGUUGAGGCCUAUUUUAGAUGACAUUAUUUCACCGGAGCAGAGCGCCUUUGUUCCUGGAUGGAUGAUUACUGAUAAUGCUUUAAUUUCUUUUGAGUGCAUUCACUUUAUUCAGCAGGAGAAAGACCCUGACAAGAGUUUCUGUGCGUAUAAGCUGGAUCUGUCUAAGGCAUAUGAUAGGGUGGAUUGGAUCUUCUUGGAGCGAAUGAUGCAAAAGAUGGGCUUCGCUUGCCAAUGGGUGGACUGGAUUAUGGCUUGCGUCACCUCGGUGAGAUACACAGUAAAAUUUAAUGGAACCCUCUUGGAUUCGUUCGCACCGUCACGUGGGCUUCGACAAGGUGAUCCCCUAUCCCCGUUUAUGUUUCUGUUGGUGGCUGGCGGGCUUUCUGCUUUGUUGAAAGAUGGAGAGGAGAAAGGUGCUUACACACCGCUGGAAAUCUGCCGAAGAGCUCCGGGUGUGUCACACUUGCUUUUUGCGGAUGAUACUUUGUUGUUCUUUAAAGCAGAGGAGGAACAAGCAAAAAAGGUUCAGGAAGUACUUAAUAUGUAUGAACGGGUUACUGGACAGUGUAGUAACCCAGAUAAGUGCAGUGCUCUCUUUGGUCCAUCAUGUGCCGUGGACAUACAGGAUAGUAUACGGGUUGUCCUUCACAUUGGUGUGAGCACCUUUGAGGAAAAAUACCUAGGACUUUCGACGCCAGAGGGUCGUAUAUCACGAGGUAAACUUCAGAAUUUGCAGUCACGGCUGAUGAAGAGGACCAUUGCUUGGGGUGACACUCUUUCUCUUGCUGCCAAGGAGAUUAUGAUUAAAGCAGUCGCACGGGCUAUCCCAACUUAUAUUAUGGGUGUUUUUAAACUGCCUAUGUCAGUGUGUGAUGAUCUGAACAGAACGGUGCGAAAUUUUUGGUGGGGAUCUUCAGAGGGCAAGAGGAAAACUCACUGGUUGGCAUGGCCAAAAAUUCUGGCGCACAAAUCCCAGGGCGGAUUGGGUUUCAAGACUUCCGGGUGUUCAACCAAGCUCUUCUCACGAGACAGGCAUGGUGCUUGCUAGCUAAGCCUGAUAGUUUAUGUGCGCAGGUGUUAAAGGCUCGGUAUUAUCCUGAUGGACGCCUUGAGGAUACAGUAUUUGCCGGAAAUGCUUCGCCUACUUGGCAGGCCAUCCAGCAUGGCCUCGAGCUCCUGAAGAAGGGCAUCAUCUGGCGUGUCGGGAAUGGACAGAGCAUCCGCAUCUGGCGGGACCGCUGGGUACCCCGGGAGCCUUCACGCCAUCCCAUUACACAGCAAGGCACCUGUCGGCUGAGAUGAGUGGCGGAUCUUCUGGAUGAUGCCGGCGCUUGGCAGAUGGACUUGCUACGCCGACACUUCCUCCCGGCGGACAUUGACGCGGUCACCAGUAUCCGCACCUCGCCCCACAUCACCGACGACAUUAUCGCAUGGGCGCCGGAGAAGAACGGUAUAUUCAUCGUUUGAUCCGCCUAUCACUUCGCCAUGGACGAGCGGGAACGUCCACUGGCUACCUCCACGAGCAGGGCACCAGAUGGUCGUCGCGCCAUCUGGAAGAUCAUAUGGGGGUGCCCUGCCCCCCCUAAGGUACGCGUGUUUGCAUGGAGAGUAGUGACCAACUCGUUGGCUACCUGGGCCAACAAAUUUUCUCGUCAUCUUGAGCUUACUGACAUAUGUCCUCUUUGUGGUGUGGAACGAGAGGACGGCUUCCAUGCAUUAUGCAGAUGCCCACUUGCUAGAGAGCUGUGGCGGAAUAUGGAGACGGACUGGCCAAUCCCAAAGCUCGAGGGAAUUUGCAAUAACGACCCAGAGUGGCUGUUUUCCCUCCUGGAACCACUAGACGGAACGGCACGCCUGGUCACCCUCAUGAUUAUGUGGCGAACCUGGUACGUGCGCAAUGAGAUUACUCAUGGAAAGAAGCCACCCCCAACAGAAGCAUCCCGCCGCUUCCCCAACGGGCACAUUAAUUCGCUUCUAUGCAUUCAUCACUACCCAAAUGGAGACGUGGAGAAAGGAAAGAUGAUCCUGCAUGUUACCCCACCGGCCACAACUUUAUGUACUGAGCAGAAGCAGGAGCUACGUUGGGCGCCGCCCGGCCCGAGCUGGACGAAGUUAAACACUGAUGGCAGUUAUGUCCCAGCUACAGGCGUUGCAGGAGGGGGCAUGGUCCUCCGCGAUGACAGAGGAGAGAUCAUCUUCAGUGCGUGUAGGGAGAUACGCACAUGUGAUAACAGCCUGCAUGCGGAACUUGCAGCAUGCAGAGAGGGCUUGGAAUUGGCUUUGCAUCGGACCAACCUACCCAUCGUGGUGGAGCUGGAUAGUGUGGAAGCGGUCACGAGGCUUACAACACAUGUGAUGGACCGCUCACAGCACCGUGUUCUAGUUGACGAGAUUCGGAGGAUAGUUACAUAAGAGGAUAGAGAGAUUUUUUUUACUCACUGUAGACGAUCUCGGAAUAAAGUUAGUCAUGAGUUGGCCGCGUACGGCCGUAGUACCCCCCGCACUGCUGUGUGGUUGCGAUCAGGGUUGGAAUUUGUUGUAAACCUAUCCAAGGCUGAUAAGCCUCCUUGAGUAAUGAAAAUCUCCUUUCACCCUGCAAAAAAAUGUACUCAUAUAAGGCUAGCUUUUUUUCCUGUUAAAAAAGAUAAAUAAUGGAGAAAUAUUUGGGAAGAUAACACUUGGCACUCGGUUGGUGGAACACGUCACAAUAUUAUUUCGAAUUGAUCUGUAACCAGAAUCUCAAUGCAAAAUACCCCAAGCAUACAACCGAGACCACGCAUGCACCCCAUCGCAUGGCCUCCACACGCCUUGUCGAUAUCCAUGGUGGCAUCUGCGCCGGCCGGGUGUCACGGAUCCCCCUUCACUCCCUCAGCGUGUGAACGUGGACGCUCCAACCCAACCGUGCCCCGUGUUCAGGAUAAGCUGGCCGGCUCGUCCGCCCUUCUUAUUGCCGCUGCUUCUCAUCUCACACGCUCCAACACUAUCCUCUCCUCCACCGAGUAUCCGCCUACGGAGUAGUACCUCGCAAGCUAGCUCGCAGCUCCGCCGCAAUGGCCACCGUAUUGAGCAGCCUCCGCUUGCCCUUCUCCGUCUGCCCCGCCGCCCCUUCGGCGCCCAUGGCGGCAUCCCGCGUCGCGCUCCCGCUGUCGUCGACGGCCGCCAGGGGCAUGAGGCUCCGCGCGCAGGCGACGUACAAGGUGAAACUGAUCACGCCGGAGGGCGAGGUGGACCUCGAGGUCCCCGACGACGUCUACAUCCUCGACCACGCCGAGGAGGAAGGGAUCGACCUGCCCUACUCCUGCCGCGCCGGCUCCUGCUCCUCCUGCGCCGGGAAGGUGGUCUCCGGCCAGCUGGACCAGUCCGACCAGAGCUUCCUCGACGACGACCAGAUCGAGGCGGGGUGGGUGCUCACCUGCGCCGCGUACCCCACCUCGGACCUCGUCAUCGAGACCCACAAGGAGGAGGAGCUCACCGCUUGAAUUCACUGAUUUGUUUAGUUCGACCCGUUUCCACCGUGCGCGUGUACCAUGCACGACAUUCGAACUGUAUCAGGAUAUUGAGGAGUUGCAAAGUACAGUACGUAAUUAGUACUUGCUGUUGUGGUCGGAUUUUGAUUGCUUUUGCUUAUUAAUGCCUAGUGUUAAUUUUCUCAAGUCAAUCAAGUAAUAAAAGGAGAUGAGAUUGUACUCCAUGUCUCCGUUACGCGUGCCUCGCGAUUCACUUAUGAUUUAGAUCCUUUUUAGUUUGCAUAUAAGUU
rnacentral:lncRNA from 1 species